CAGAGCUUGGGUUCGGUAAUGCAGACGCCGUGGUUACGUCUUCUGAGAAGGACAGCAAACUGGAGAGUCCAGCGAGUGAUUCGGAAGAGAAGAAAUAGCUGUUUAACAUGCAAGCCAGCAAAAGGAUACUAGAGCAUAACCUGUUUAAUUCGGCAAGUUCUACACUCGGGCUAGAUUUAACGUGGAAUACCUCGUAUAUUCUUUUACUAGUUUCUCUGAUAAAUUAAGCCGUGUACCACAGGUGGAGAAAGUAUCAGUUUACAUAUGCUCUUUUUAAUGCUUUCAUAGGAUUUUUUUUUGUCCUUUGGAUCAGCUGGACGGUACUAAAUUUUUUCUAAGAAUUGUCUGUUUUUCUAUGCCCAGUAGCGUUGAAAUUUGAACAUCAUUGGCUUCAACCUCUAUUUUUUUUCGCCGGCCACAUAGGCUGGGCUCUGUUUUCAUGUGUUCCUCUAAUGUUGUAUCCGGUCUACAACCGUUUCUCUUGCAUUCAAAUUAUUAUUUUUGAAAGCCUUGCAUUCAAAUUUUCAUUUUCUGUUGGAAUUUUCUGUUCAUUUCUAGCAGCGGUAUGCGCUGGCUGAUAUGUUUGAUUACUUGAAGGUCAUCUUUACAGUCGAGUGCGGCUCUCCUAGUUGUAUAUACAUUGUUGAUUUUUUUUAAGGUGAAGCACAUGGUACAGGAUUUACUUCAGAUAAGCAGGUCAAAACACAUUGCAAGCUUGCAGUUGCAGCAUAAAGCUGAAAUGCUUAAAGCACAUAACUGAACCCUGAACCUCCCCUUCCAUUGACCUGGGUUAGGAUGGACAGUCACAUUUGUACGUGGAUCACACAAAGCAUCCAUAUUCCCCAGGUAUCACACACAAUAAAUCCGCAGUAAUACGACAUUUUAACUUGACAAUCGCAAUGCCAAUGAUGCCAUUGGGGGUGCACCUGACUUGUUCGAUGAAAUGCCGCAUCGACCCGUGUGGUGUCUACCUUGGUUGACUUCCAAUGACUUGUGCCUUGUUCCUCUGCUCCAGCGUUCGGGCACCACGACCGAAACAACUCUGCCAUCGGCGGAUUUUUCUUUCUUUCUAAUAAAAUCCCGAUGAAACAGAGCACAUGAAAAUAUUAUGCCACAUGGUUAAAAGACCCGUAAAACGACAGGCUAUCCAGGUCUUUGCUUUGGCUACUCAAACAACUAGUUGGUUGGAAGUUAAACCUGCCUUUCUUUUCAAACUCAAGCACUUAGUAGUAGCACUAGUCCAGAUCAUGUCUGGUUCCUAGAACGGUGACAUUUCCUCACUGCUGACUGAAAUCUGCACAUUUUUAUGCUCACCUGGUUCAUCUUGGAAGGAUGGCUCAGAUGUAAACUUUCUACCAAGUUAUUAAAUUAUUACGCACGAUUUUUCUUUUUUGAGUUUUUUUUUCUAAUUCACAAGUGACUAAUGGAUGUAUCCGUUUCUGAUUCAGAUUGGCGGCAAUCACCACUUCAUGCAUUUUUGGUGGACAAUUUUCAGUUGAACCUCAGUGUUGACUUGCUCCUCUGUUGCCAACAACAAUGUCCGGCUUGCUGAAUGUACUUGCCUAUCCUUGUAACUGGACUACCACACAUUCACUAUAUAUUUCCCAAUUCUAUCUGUCUACUAUGUUUUCUUAUUACUUGUCUUGUUAACUUGAUGCUUUCUUCCCUUGGCAGUCAAAUCUUAACAGUUCCACAUCGAACCUUCCAGAGCCAUUCACAACAUCCUUUUCUGGUCAAUCUGGAUCAGUUCAAGGUUUCCAUCACUCUGGUGAGCAUACGAUAGAUACACUAACUCCGUUAGUGCAUCGACAUAGUGCGCCAUCCAUUCAGUAGACCUUCUUAACUAACUCUGGUCAUUUUCUGCAUUUUUCAGGUCUGCACAACAUUCAUGGAAAUUAUAGCCUUCCAAAUAUGCCUGGAUCACUUGCACAAAGGAAUGCUGCCAUGAGUGGCCUUCCAUCCUCCGGGGUUCAGCAACCUGGAGGGAGCAUUUCUGGGAGAUUUGCUUCAAACAACCUUCCUGUUGCCAUGUCUCAGGUUCGAAUGCUCAUCUUUGUGGAGGUUUGCAUUAUUAUUAUUUAUAUACGUUGACCAUCAUGAACAUGGAUGCUAAUAGAUCUGCAAUCCAAGGAACAAUUUUGUUGUCUUAAUAAAUUAUAACAUAUUCUUGCUGUUGUUUCAUGCGGGGAUGAUGAUUCUUACUGUUUUGGCAUUAUUGUUUCUUUUGCCGAUUCCUCAUGCACAUUCUGGUGUCGGUGGUAGAGGAAUGAAUGUUGGUGGAGGUCAAGCAUUCAGCAGUGGAAUGAACAUGGGUGGUAGCAUUCAAGGUUUAUCCUCAAACUUGGGCACCAGUGGUAAUCGAAAUUCUGUUCCUGGCAAUCCAGCUUUAGGAAACCUGGGUCCACGUAUUACAAGCUCCGCGGGAAACAUUGUGGGUGGAAGUAACAUUGGAAGAAAUAUAAGCUCUGGUGGAUUGUCGGUGCCGAGUAUCUCAUCACACAUCGAUUUUAGUGGCAAUGCUGCAAGUGGAAGACUAAAUGUGCAAGGAUCCAACAGGAUGAUGAAUGGCCUUAUUCCGCAAGGUAGUUUACUUAACAGUAGGUUGAUUUUUUACUCCAUACAUUUAUGUUAAGCUUGAAAUACUAUUUUUAAGCAUAUUUAACCAUUGCUAUGUUAAUGCUCUGUUCCUUGCCUUUAUCUUACGAAAAAAAGUUGGGCAUAUGAAAUAAAUGGUUAACUUCCCAUAUUAUAUAGGUUUCAUUGGACCUUCUUUUUUGGAAAACACAGUAGGUAGCGUUAAUGUUCAUCAGUUCAUGCUUCAUAAAUCAUGAACCAUGUGAUGCUGUAGUGUAUUGCAGACUUCAAUAUUGGAAGUGACACUAUCUGGCGCAAUAGGCAUUUUGUUACCUCUGUACAAUGGGAGCCAACUUUUUAGAAUUUAGAACUUUACCUUAAAUAUUUAAGUCCAACAUUGUUGGAAUUCCUGUCAUCUUUAUUCUUUCUUUUGCAGGCAUAUGUUGUCUGUUGGGAAUUUUUUAAUAAUUAGACAUAGAAUCCUGUAAACAAAGGCGCACAUAUUAAAAUAAAUAGAAAUCAAUGCUAUUUUCUUAGUAUUAUUUGAGAAUAUCCAUUUUGAGUUGGUUAUGGUCCUUGCUUUUUUAGUGACUGUUACUGUAUCUAUUUCUUAAUGUUGUUCUAUUCAGUGAUAUUACCAAUUUAAAUUUAUGAUAGUAGCUGGGUUAUGAUACAAGCUUGUUUAUAUUUUAUUCAAUCGUGAUAGUCUCGUGUGGGAGAACGAUAAAAGAAGCAUACAGUGUGUUAUUUUCUUUUGUUUAACUAUGUUCUCAUUCAGCUUGUGUUUUUUUAAUCUCUAACACCAGGAUCAUCGCAACUGAUGAAUAUGAUUAGAAGUUCGUACCCAACGUCUGGUGGUUCAUUAUCCCAGAACCAAAUGCAACCAGGAAAUAAUUCUCUAGGUUCCAUGGGGAUGCUACAUGACGCCAGUGACAGUGCUCCAUUCGACAUCAGUGAUUUCCCCCAGUUAACUGGUCGAUCGGCCUAAUUCAGCUGGUGGUCCACAGGGACAAUAUGGUAAAAUUGCUGGAAAAUCGUAAAUAUUUCCCCCUAUUUUUGGAGGAUUCUUUACCAAUCUCUCUAAAUUUCAGGAUCACUACGGAAGCAAGGAGUUGGUGUUAACUCCAUUGUUCAACAAAACCAGGAGUUCAGUAUUCAGAACGAAGAUUUCUCCGCUCUUCCAGGAUUUAAAGGUUGUUACAGUUAAAUUAUUCCUAGAACCUGUCUGUUGAUUCAGGGAGAUUGUUCUCAUUAUGUUUCCGGUGUAGUGGAGCAUGAUUAUUUAGCUGUGUUACUUUGUGAUCUUGAAGUUCUAAUAUCGGCUUCAUGCCUGUUAUUAUACAGCCCCGCUACUCUUUACAUACUGAACCUCAGUAUUUGAACAGCUUAGUUACCAACAAAAUUACUCCGUCGUAAAAUAUUCUAUCUGUUAUAAAGCCCAUUGGUUUUUUAGCCGUGUGGUAUGAAUGCCGUGAUCUUCUCCUCAAGUCAACAAAGGCUUACUGCCUUUCUAUAUGCUUGAUGGGUAUUUUUGUCUUCUCUACUUCCCUUGAUGGGUAUUUUUGUCUUCUCCUCAAGUCAACAAAGGUGUCCGCGAUCGUUGCAGCAAAAUUUAUGGAACACUGUUUUUGUGAAUACAAUCAUAGAGAAAGGUCAGAAGACGAGGAUGCAAAGAUUUCAUGAGGGCCAGCGGGGCAAGACCCCAUGCAGCUGACGUGGCCUCACGGGAAUGCAGAAAAAUAUCUCAUAAAUACUACUCCCUCCGUUCCUAAAUAUAAGUUUUUUAAGAUAUUUCAUUAAGUGACUACAUACGAAGCAAAAUGAAUUAAUCUAUACUAUAAAGUAUGUCUAUAUACAUCCGUAUGUAGUUCUCUAAUGAAAUCUCUAAAAAAACUUAUAUUUAAGAACGGAGGGAGUAAUUUGGUAUUGCUUUAUAAGAUAUACAUAUGCCAAAUCAAGGAUGCAUAUAUGCACCGUCUAUUGGCGUAAUAACAUAUUAUUAUCAUGUGAUGCUCUAACUGGACAUUAAUCACCAUGAAUCAUCAUUACAAUAUAUGGUGACCACCUUGGAAAAAUGCGCCAAAGGACAUUUAGAUUUUUUUAGAAAAGGAGGCGUCACCCCGGCCUCUGCAUCGAGUGAUGCAUGCAGUCUUUUAUUUAAGCAAGGAUAAACCAGUCCGGAUCAAGUACAUCAAGUUUAUGAGAAGAAACAUGGUAUGAAAGGACAUUUAGAUAAAAGGGUCUUUCUGCAACAUGGUUACGUGCUUCGAAAUUCAUAUGCAUAUAAAUAAUAAGUACCCCUAAUUUUUGCGAGAAAUGAUAGUACGACUAUUUAUGACAUAUGUAGGACAAUUUUAAUACAUGACAUGGGUAUAGAGCUCUUAUUUAGUUGCGUUAGGGGGAGAUAAUCAAUUUCUCUCUCCUGCAAGAACUCGUAUAGAGAAUUCAUUAUUGUAAGCUUCUCAUAUCAUGACUUAUGGUUAUAGAUGGAAGGGCAUCCUAAACCCUUCGCGUUUUCCAUUGGUCACACUCUUCAUAUAAAACAUGAGCUAAAUAUUAGGUAUGAUUUGAGGCAUAACAGCUAAGCCAUUUGGGAGGUGGUUAAGCCAAUUUAAUUCUGGUGUUACUAUGGCUAUAAUUCAUUUAAGCUCACUAUGGCAGUAAGUUAACUAUGAGCCUCAUGAUCUACCGUGUGGACCAAUAUGGAUCAAAAUAACAUCCUGAAAAUUAAUUAGCUGCAGCAUUUGAUAGAGUUUGCCGUGGAAGUUACCAAUUUGGCCAUCCGUGCGCAUACGUUGAGUCCUCAACUUUGUGAAGUGUCUCAGACAGCCAUACGGAUGAAUACAAAUAGUUGCACUUGCGCCUUUAGGCCCAAAUGUAACUAUAACGUCUUUUAUUUCUAACUAGCAAAAGAGCCCGUGCGUUACAACGGAAGAGAAAAUAACACAUGCUCUAAACGCAAUAUAUUUUCACAUGGCAUCAUAUUUGUAUUGCCGACGAUUGUCACAGUGCUCACACAACGACAACGCGUUUGAACGAGUCACUCGGGAUAAGAUGAGAAAUAUGUUGUUUCUCCCCAUGAGGUUUUUCAAAGGUGUGCAUGUGUGGUUAACGAUGUUUUCUUUCCUCUCAAUUUGGUUUUAAUUUAAUGAAUGUUUAUUGCAAUUCGUAUCAUCGCUGGAAAGAGAGAAAAAAAGGACCGUGCACUACAGAUUAAGUUUGCAUAAAAAUAAUAUUUAAGAAGUAUUCAACUGCUAAAAAUAACAUCCUAUUUAGAUUCUACAUAUUUUUUUAAUCAAAUUUUAGAUAUAACAUGUUAAAAUCGGAGUUACGGUUUAAAAGAUAUGGAUAAUUUUGUUUUAGGUAAAAUGUGGAUUGAUUAACGGAAAAGUCAGGUUUUUUUUAACACAAAAGAAACGUUUCGGCUGAUUUAAAUACGAAUGGCGGGUUGAUUAUCUGAAACAUGAAGGGAUAUUUUGAAAAAUGACAAAAAAAAGUUCAAAAAGAUGGUUCUAAAACAUGCAUUCUAUAUAGGGCGGCCAAGAUCAGCUGGCUCCUACUUUGGUGUUCCCGUUCCAAGGGGCAUUUAUGUCGGGGGUUACGGUGAGCAAAGGCCACUUCCGAUUGGGUACUACGGAUUCCCGGUUCCACAAUACAGGUAAAAUGAUUUUCAAAACAUACAAGAAAACUUCUUUGAAAACGCAAGCUUUAAGAAAACCAAGUGGGUUGACGAUCUAUCAAUGAUGCUAUCAAACUCGCAUAUAAGACGACGUAUUUAGAAGUUUCAUAUUGUUCCUAGAUUGGCUGUUCACAUCUUUAAUGCUCUUCACCAUUUUUCAAUAUAAUUUCUUCAUGUUUUAUAUUUUGUUACCCCUUGAAUUUGCAAACUUUAAAUACUCCCUCUGUUCCUAAAUAUGAGUCUUCUUAACGAUUCCGCUACGGACUACAUACAUAUGUAUAUACACAUACUUUAGAUUGUAGAUUCACUCAUUUUGCUCUGUAUGUAGUCUAUAGUGGAAUCUUUAAAAAAACUUAUUGCCGGGGGGAUAACCCCGGGGUAGGCUCGUCAAGCCUGCUCCUUCAUUUCCGGCCCAAAGGACAUGAACGUAUACAGAUUUCCAAGGCCCAAGUCUUCCAGCCGGCUAGGCAGCGCCUACCGGCUAGAGGACGAGGCGGCCAUCCCUCUGGCCGGCCAGGCAACCCCCGCCGGCUAGAGUCGAGGCGGCUACCUCUCCUGAGCCGGCCUGGUCGCGCUAGCCCGGCUAGGAAGGAGGCGGCCGCGCCCAAGCCCGCUAGCCAAGCAGGCUAGCCGGCCGAAGAUCACAAGUCACAUCAGAUCGUAGGUCAGGAUAAGACCUUACGACUAAAGGUAGCUACGCGUCAGCAAAGGUACUGGAUCGGGGCGCCCGACAGGUACGAGCGUCGGCGGCCACGCUGCUGACCUACCCCGGCUCUGAUCCAUCACCUAGCAUAGUGUCGGACCGUCACACUCCCACUCCAUUACUGCACUCGGCAUGGGGAACAGUGGAGGCGGCCGUACUACCUGCCCAUGACGAAUCUCGCGGGGCAACGCUUGACGUACAGCGCGUGCUCGACGUCAACCUUACGCAAGAGCCUCAUUGGCCAGCCGGCGGGUUCCACUGCCAAUCGAGACCAUGCAGCCGACGGGUCCCUCAAGCGACAAGACAAGACUCUAGUGGCCCCCUGGCCAGCCGACGAGGCUGCCAGCCGGGUCCCACACUUGUACCCUUUAUCCAUAUUGUAGGCUGGCGGGUUUGUCUAUAAAACCCCCCGGUCGCCCUCCAUGCAAGGGGGGCGAUCAUUCCACAACCGAACAACACUAUACACUCACCAACCACAGAGAGAGGCAGAGACGAGCCGGCUGCUCCCCUCUUCCUCCUCCCAACACAGCUCCAGGAGCAACCUUGUACUCUGUUCAUACACAUCAAACACCCCGGCAGGAUUAGGGGUAUUAUCUCUACGGAGAGCCCUGAACCUGGGUACAUCGUGCGUCCCAUGCGUGUACCAACCUCGUUCCCAGCGUCCACCUUUGUCCCUUCGGUUCUCACCGACUUUAGCCUACCUAUGGCAUAUGUUGUGAGUAUUCACCGACAUUUGGCGCCCACCGUGGGGCCGAUCGCGGCAUCGGCUGACUUUACGCGCUGGGCGGGGCCCCGCACCUACACCAUCGGAUGCAUCGCAUCCGGAUCAGUAUGCAUGCCCGUGGAGCCCGCUUUCGACGAGGCAACACCCAUGAUGAUCGACAUCCCUGUCCGCCAUGCGGAUUCGAACGAAGAUUCUGAUGACGAGGCACUCCCUAGCGUCGUCGCCGCUGCUAUGGAGAACCUCAGCGUUCUCUUCAGCGACCUUCGUCUCAACGACGGUCCGCGCUACUUCGGCGAGGACUUCGACGUUGAGGCGCUCUGCGCCAGCUUCAGCAGACUCUCUAUCGCUGAGAUGCUUGCUCACGACGUAUAUCCCAGCAACGCCCUCGUCUUCGACGGUCCUCCACCGUCGGUGGGGUUCUUUACCCCAUACCACGUUGUUGCCGUCUCCAACACCAUGGAGGUGAUGGUUAUCAGCGCCGGCACCAGCAUGGCUCCCAGCAAGGCCUCAACAGGUGCUGGUGAGCCCGCCGCUGCCACCGCCGAUACUCUUCGAGACGCCAUUGCCGGCCUGAAGACACCGUCACCGCUUCCGCAAACCCUGCUGACGCUCGGGCCUCGCUGGAGGAGGCUCGCAAGCGUAUCCUGGAGGAGGGCAUUGCCGUAGCUUCGGCGAAACGUCGGUUGGAGGCUACGCAGCGCGAGUAUAACUCCGCAUACGGCCUUACUCCGAUUUCCGAGGCCCCUAGCCGGCUUGGAUCGGUCCGCAGCCGCGGCCAGUUCAUCGCCGAAGUCCUAGGUGGCAAUCUGCCCACCUACGAGACCCCUGCGGCCAACAUGCGAGCGGCGCAGGCAGCCAUGGAGGAGAUGGCGAGCCUGGAAGGCGAGGAGCGCGCUUUCUAGGAGAAGAGGGUCAAGGACCUCCUUGACGCUGCUAACCAGCAACACGCUCGGUUUGACCCCGGUCAGGCUCAGUCGGAGUCCCCGGGGCCCAACCCCGGAGCACGUUGCAACCCUAGCGGCCAGCAUCAUGCAGAAGGAUCCUCCUCGCAUCGCCCUUCCGGCCGAAGGGGCGAGGGAAGCCAAGACCGGCGCUCUCAGCGCCAGAGCGAGCACACUUCGGGCUUGCGUCGCGGAGGCGACGAGGGCGAUUCAGAGUGUGAGACUCUUCCCCCGCGAAGAACUCACGUCUCUGGCUCGCGAGGCACCUCUCCUCUCGCCACUCGGGCUGGCGCUCACGCUACCGAGGAUGAUUGGGACGCUCGCCGGCGUCUCAUCGUCCUGGCCUAGUCAGCCCUCCUGGAGGAAGAUGGUCCCGUCGGUCCGGCCUGUUUCGGCCCCCGGAUCCGAGGGGAGCCGUUCCCCCAAGGUUUCACCUUGCCUCGGGACACGCCCAAAUACAAUGGCACGGCCAAGCCAAAGGACUGGCUUAUUGACUACACCACGGCCGUCGGCAUUGCCAGGGGCAACAAGCGCGUAGCGGUCCGCUACGUGCCACUCAUGUUGACCGGCUCGGCCCGGACUUGACUUAACAGCCUCCCGGUCGGCAGUGUCAACUCAUGGGUGGACUUCGAGGAGGCGUUCGUCCGCAACUUCACUGGCACCUACAAGCGCCCUGGCCGGCCCCGCGAGUUGGCCAUGUGCAUCCAGAAGCCCGACGAACCCCUUCGGGACUACGUCACCCGGUGGACAGAGCUCCGUAACUCCUGCGAGGGGGUGCAUAAGGUACAAGAUAUCCAGUACUUCAUCGACGGUUGCCGCAACGGCACCCUCCUCAAGCACAAACUUAUGUGCUCCGAGCCCACCUCUCUGGCGGUGCUCAUGGCCAAGGCGGACACGUACACCACGACCGACUCGGUGAUGCGCGUCAAGGUGACCGCCUCGGACAAGGCUGUACCUACGCCGGCUACUCCCAAGCCGGCUGGGGACAGCCGAGGCGGCCAGAACAACUACAAGCGCAAGGUGGAUCAGAUGGAUCCCCGCUCCAACAACAAGUUGGUGGCCAGCGUGGAGGGCGAAACACCGGCUCCUCAAGCCGGCCCUCCACGAAAGCGUCCCAACAGAAGCAACACCAACUGGCUUCCCAAGCAGUCCUUCGAGCAGCUGCUCGACGCCCCCUGCAAGAUACAUUCUGGGGCGCAACCGUCUAUCCACACACUUCGACAGUGCAGCUUUGCACGCCGGCUGUGGCAAGGGGAUGGCCUGCCGGCUCCUCCCGGUGCGCAGGCGUCACCACGUGCACCGGCUCCCGUCCACGCUCCGGCUCCGCCGCCGCCGCCUCACGACGACGGCCACCACCAAGACGACUACCCUCAUCAAGACGGAGCAUUUGUCGUCUUCACCAGUGAAGGCGACGACAAUCACAGCCUGCGCGAGAGGCGGCGCGAGGUGAACGCCACGGGCCCCCCGGUUCCCCAGUACAUGCAUUGGUCCGACAAACCAAUCACAUGGAGCCGGGUGGACCAUCCCGCGGUGAUGCCCAACCCGGGAUCGUACACACUCGUCCUCGACCCCACCUUCGCCUCUAAGAGGCUCACCUGUCGGGUGUUGGUCAACGGCGGCAGCAGCAUCAACAUCCUCUACCUCGACACUCUCCUCAAGCUCGGACUCAAGGAGACGGACGUUCUACCGACCAGUACUGUCUUCCAUGGCAUCGUGCCUGGGCAGUCCUGCUCGCCCAUUGGCAAGAUCCAGCUGGACGUCCUCUUCGGCGACAAAGCCCACUUCUGCCGAGAGUCCACAUGGUUCGAGGUAGUGGAUCUCAAUAGCCCGUAUCACGCGCUGCUGGGAAGACCGGCUCUGGCCAAGUUUAUGGCUAUUCCGCAUUACGCCUACCUGAAGAUGAAGAUGCCGGGUCGCAAGGGCAUCAUCACUGUUGUUGGCGACUACAAGAAGUCGCUCGAGUGUGCCCAAGAUAGCAGUCGCCUCGCCGACACCUUGGUGAUUGCUGAGGAGAAGUGGCAGAUCGACCGGCUCGUGUCCCAGGCUACUAAGCAGCCGACGAUUCCUUCUCCUCCGUCCCAAUCGGCCGGCGAGGGCUCUUUCAAGCCGGCUAAAGAGACCAAGCAAGUCCCACUCGACCCUGCCAACCCAAAGCAGCGCAUCACCAUCGGGGCUGGCCUCAGCCCCAAAUAGGAAGUUGAGCUCGUCGACUUCCUCCGUGAGAAUUGGGACAUCUUUGCAUGGUCCCCCAAGGACAUGUCGGGUGUUCCGAGGAAGUACGCCGAGCACAAACUUCACGUGCGUCCGGAUGCAAAGCCGGUGAAACAACCCUUGCGCCGCUUCGCCGAGGGGAAGCGCCGCACGAUCGGAGAAGAGAUCACCCGGCUCCUUGCAGCCGGCUUCAUCAUGGAGGUUUUCCACCCGGACUGGCUGGCUAAUCCAGUCCUAGUGCUGAAGAAGAAUAAUACCUGGCAAAUGUGUAUUGACUACACUAGCCUGAAUAAGGCUUGUCCGAAAGACCCUUUCGCGUUGCCUAGGAUAGAUCAAGUGAUCGACUCAACUGCAGGUUGCGAACUGCUGUCGUUUCUGGAUGCUUAUUCGGGCUACCAUCAAAUCAAGCUGGAUCCAGCUGAUCGCCUGAAGACCUCCUUCAUCACGUCCUUCGGGGCCUACUGCUACACCACCAUGACGUUCGGUCUGAAGAACGCAGGUGCGACGUUCCAACGGUGCAUGCAGCAGUGCCUACUACCGCAGAUAGGCAGAAACAUCCACGUCUAUGUGGAUGACAUCGUUGUCAAGACGAAGCAGCACCUCAGCCUCCUCGACGACUUGCGGGAGACACUCGCCAAUCUGCGCGAGUACAAGAUCCGGCUCAACCCAGAGAAGUGCGUCUUCGGGGUUCCAGGCGGCAAACUCUUGGGGUUCUUCGUGUCCGCCCGCGGUAUCGAAGCAAACCCCGAGAAGAUCGGCACCAUCGAGCGGAUGGUGCGGCCGACUCGAAUCCUCGACGUCCAGAAGUUCGCCGGCUGCUUGGCGUCCUUUAGCCGGUUCAUCAGUCGGCUUGGCGAGAAGGCCCUUCCACUCUACCAACUCAUGAAGAAGACAACGAAGUUCGCGUGGAACGACCAGGCGGACGAAGCCUUCCGCGACCUCAAGCGGGUAAUCUCGAGCCUGCCAAUCUUGGCAGCGCCGUCUGAAAGGGAACCCAUACUCAUAUACAUUGCGGCGACUACUCGCGUGGUUAGCGUAGUGUUGGUAGUUCAGCGUAAAGAGGAGGGCAAGGCACUGCCAGUGCAGCGCCCUGUCUAUUACCUUAGCGAGGUCUUGUUCGCCUCUAAGAAGGACUAUCUGCAUUAUCAAAAAAUGUGUUAUGGUGUUUACCUUGCUGCAAAGAAGUUGAAGCAAUACUUCCAGGAGCAUGCCAUCACCGUGGUAAGCACUACUCCACUUUCAGAGAUCAUGGGCAACCGUGAUGCCACAGACAGGAUUGCCAAAUGGUCCAUCGCUAUGGCGGAUCACGAUAUCCGAUACGAGCCCCGUACCGCCAUCAAAUCUCAGGUGGUGGCCGAUUUCUUAGUCGACUGGGCCGAGACCCAGUUUGAGCCACCGCCUCCAGACUCCACGCAUUGGCGGAUGCACUUCGACGGCUCGAAGAUGCGGACAUGACUGGGAGACGGCAUCGUCUUGACGUCUCCGAAAGGGGACCGGCUCAAGUAUGCUCUCCAGAUCCAUUUCGCCGCCUCCAAUAACGUCAUCAAGUACGAAGCACUCGCUCAUGGCCUCCGGCUUGCCAAGGAGAUCGGCAUCCGGCGGCUCAUAUGCUUCGGCGAUUCAGACUUGGUGGUGCAGCAGGUCUCUGGCGAAUGGGACACGAGGGACGCCAACAUGGCAAGCUACCGCUUCCUCAUUCAGCAGCUCAGCGGCCCCUUCGAGGGCUGUGAGUUUCACCACGUUCCCAGGGCAGAAAAUGAGGCGGCCGAUACACUGGCGAAGAUCGGCUCCACAAGACAGGCCAUUUCAGCCGGCGUCUCCCUCGAGCAACUCCAUAAACCGUCUAUCAAGCCAUCUCCGGAGUCAGCUAUGCCGGCUGUGGUUCCCACGCCGGCUGCGCUGACUACGCCGACUCCAAUAGCGGCACCGGCUGAAUCCACGGUGCAAGCACCGUCGGCUCCACCAACUACGCCGUCUGUAGUUCCUAUGCCGGCUCUACUGGCUCCACCGACUCCAAGGGCGGCACCGGCUACAACAACAACCUCGGCUCUGCCUGGACUCGAAUCCUGUCGUCUCGACACCCAAUGGGUGGACGUCAUGGAAGUAGACGGUGAGCCGGCUGCCGAAGUAGACGGUGAGCUGGCUGCCGCGGCAGCACCAGAGACACCUUGUCUCGAGCCAACAACCACGGCUCUAGCAAGCUCGGGGGCUGCAGAAGCCCCCAACAGUCAAGACAAGGCGGAGGCGACCCUUGUGUCGGCUCCAUCAUGGGCUCAGACUAUUCUGGCCUUCCUUCUUCGCGGCGAACUUCCUCAGAACGAGGCGGAGGCGAGGCAGAUCCAGCACAAGUCUGCAGCCUACGCCAUUAUCAAUCGCGAACUGGUACGGCGCAGCGUGACCGGCGUGUUCCAACGCUGCGUCGAAUCAGAAAAGGGGCAGGAGAUCCUCAGAGACAUUCACCAGGGGGAGUGUGGGCAUCAUGCCGCCUCCAGAACCCUGGUGGCCAAGGCAUUCCGCCACGGAUUCUACUGGCCCACGGCUCUCGAGGAGGCCAUGGAUCUGGUCGACAAGUGCGAAGGCUGCCAAUUCUUCAGCGCGAAGAGCCAUAUGCCGCCUUCGGCCCUCAAAACCAUUCCCCUGUCAUGGCCAUUCGCCGUCUGGGGACUGGACAUGGUAGGGCCCUUCAAGACGGCUCGCGGUGGGAUGACGCAUCUCUUGGUGGCCGUCGACAAGUUCACCAAGUGGAUCGAAGCCAGACCUAUCAAAAAGCUUGACGGCCCCACCGCUGUCAAGUUUAUCACAGACAUCUCUGUCCGAUAUGGCGUUCCCCACAGCAUCAUCACUGACAACGGCACCAAUUUCGCCAAGGGCGCUCUAGCACUCUACUGUUCCAAGGUAGGCAUCCGGCUCGAUUUGGCAUCAGUGGCACAACCCCAGUCGAAUGGCCAAGCAGAGAGGGCCAACGGCCUGAUUCUGGCCGGCAUCAAGCCAAGACUGGUGGCACCACUGGUCAGAUCAGUCGGCUGCUGGAUUGAGGAGCUGCCGGCUGUGUUAUGGAGCCUGCGCACCACGCCCAAUCGGUCGACCGGCUUCACUCCGUUCUUCCUUGUAUACGGGUCCGAGGCUAUUAUUCCCACGGAUAUCGAGUUCGACUCGCCUCGGGUCGCCCUAUACACAGAAACAGAGGCGAAGGAGGCAAGAGAAGAUGGUGUGGAUCUCCUCGAAGAAGCAGGGGACUUGGCCUUGAGCUGGACGGCCAUCUAUCAACAGAAGCUGAGAUACUACCACAGCAAAAAGAUCAAGCCUCUCUCUUUCAGGGAGGGAGACUUGGUCCUCAGAAGAAUCCAGCACACUGCCGGCCAGCACAAGCUCGCAUCCCCAUGGGAGGGACCCUUUAUCAUCAGUAGGGCGUUGCACAACAACGCCUACUACUUGAUCGAUGUCCAAAAGCCAAGGAAGCGCAAGAGGGACAACUCCGGUCAAGAAACGGAGCGCCCAUGGAACACGGCGCUGCUUCGCCCGUUCUAUUGCUAGAAGGCAAGAAUCAGACAAGGGAAAGAGCAUACAUAUGUAUCUUUCUCCCUUUUCACGGAUCAACAACAAAUGCAAUAAAAAGAGCAUGCCUCAUGUUUCUUUUUAUUGAGAGUUUUCACUCAGUGUACGCCCCCUGACUGGCUUCAAUAAGCUCGGGGGCUACACCGCGUGCACCUCUUGCUGGUUUUAUCAAGCUCGGAGGCUACGCAGCGCACGCCCCUUGCUGGCUUUAACAAGCUCGGGGGCUCGCUAGCCGCUCGGACGCCUUCCCUAUUGUAAAAGAACACAUAGUGUAAGUGUGUAACCGGCUGAUCCCUGGUCACCUCGUACGAGCUUGCAGGCUGGCUCCGGCCAUCUGGCUUGCGAGGUGGCGCCAGGUCAGGCCGGAUACAUGCAAAGUUCGGCUACAAAGGGUCGCCGGCUCGGGCUGGCCCGAUCAUAUAUACGAUCUCAUUCAAGCCGGCCUCUCUUGGUUCAUAUCUUGUUCUUUAAGUCUUGAUGGCUUCGAAAAAUCUUAAGUCUCGUAUUCUAAAAUCAGAAACCUCGACCCAACCACAGACCGGCUCCCGACUGUCGGGUUGGCAGGAUGGAAGAUUAGGAAUACGAGGAUUGGAGAAAAAGGAGUCAACCAGGAAUCAAAAGACAAGAAUAUGAGACAACACGCAUGGCAAUACGAAUAUAAUGCUGAAUAUAUACAUUCAAAAAAGCAUUGGCCCACGGCCCACGUUCAUUACAUCCCUCCGAGGGUAGAACAAAACACAGAAGGACACUGGCUACGGGGCUGCGGCCUCAUCGGUCGCCCCGGUCGCUGCUCCUGAUGUGGUAGCUUCGCCAUCUCCGGCUGCUCCCGAGGCGGUUGCACCGUCUCCUUCGCGAGGGCUCCCGGCUCCAUCCGCACCGGAGUUGGCGUACGCCGCACUGCUGGAGGCGGCGAUAGAUUCCAUAGCUCGGGCCGCCUUGUCGGAGCUGCCGUCAGGGCCAUAGGGCUGAAGGACAUGCAGAUCUUCAGCGAUCACACCGCCAUCUUCACCCCGCUCCAAAACAAAGUCGUCCCAGGCGGCAUACUCAGCGACAUCGCUGGCCCUCACAUGCAGUGCCUCCUCCAUGCCCUGUAGCUCUGCCUCCGAGCCAUCACGCUGGGCGACGAGCUUGCCCAAGUCCAGGUUCCGAUACCAGGACUUGGCCAAGCACAGGGCCAUAUAAGCCCCAGCCGACGCAACAGAGGCGCACCAGGCAUCCAGGCGUUCUCCGCCUGCGGCAAGCCAGCGGGCGAGCCGACUCAUUGAUGCCGGCUCCACGCCCUCUGGCCACAAGGACGCCACCAUCGACGAGCCUGCGAUCUGGAGCUGAGCCACAGACUCGCCCAGGGUGUGCAGGCGGGCCCGAAGGCCCAUCUCGAUCUCCUCCACGCUCCAGCCAGAGGUAGUGUCUACCUCCUGCCUAGUCGCGCGGCGCUCCUCGCGGCUCACCUCGACGGCGGUGUCGACCGCGAUCUGGGUCUCAGGAAAGAGACCUGGAAUGGCAACAGCCAGGACGUAAGAGCACAGUAAAAAGAGGAGACGGCCAAAAAGACCAAAACAAGACAAAGAAAAGAGACUCACGAUGGAAGGCGCCAUCGGUCUCAUGGGAGCUCUCGAGGACCUCGCGCUCCCGCACCUUACUCGCAUGAGUAAGGCGGGCAACCUCCUCCUGGAGAGUCGCCGCAGACUCCAAGGCCUUGACCAGCUGUGAUUGCUUCUGGACAAGGGCCUCCUCCUUCUCCCUCAAGGCGGCGUCCUUGAGGUCCAUCUCCUUAAGAUGAAGCGACGUGAGGCGAUCCACGUCGGCAGAGUAGGAGGCUUCCUUCUCCUGCAGCGUAUCGCGCAGUCGCUCUAGCUCGACCGGGCUGGCCGCCUCGAGCUCCUUCUUCUCCGUCUGAAGAAGGACCAGCUGCUCCUGGAGCUGGUUGCCGGCAUUACGCAGGGCGUCCCGCUCCGUGGCAGCUUCGCCCAGCCGGACUUCGAGCUCGGCAAUCCGGCCAUCAGCUCCCAGGUGCUGGGUCCGCAGCUCAUUAUAAGCAUGCGUCUGAGCAUCAUAAAGCUCCUGCCAAAAAAGCAAAAAGGAACAGGAUUAAGAUUUGGCCUGGUUAAGACUUAACCAGCCCGAUUCUCGGGGGCUACACCCAGUGGGUGCGCUAGCACGCCCCCACUGAAGAAACAAUACAGGGAAAAGGACCUCCAAGAGAUUCGGACCGGUCGACGAUCGAGCGGCCCAAUUCUCGGGGGCUACACCCAGUGGGUGCGCUGUCGCGCCCCCACUAACGCAAAAGGAAGAAAAAAGUUCAAAAAGCCAAAGAAGAAACACCUACCUGGGUGCGGGCCUCCACGCGCUCCAUGUCGCCACACACCACGCGGGGCAACUGCUCCACCUUGGACCGACUGCUGGUAAACAUCGACACCAGCUCCGGGAUGCCGGAAAGCGCGGUGCCAGCGGGCAGUCACAGGCGGGCCAGGUUGGCCGCCCGCCAUGACUUCAUGGGCCGGCUCCCGGCCCGGCCCCCAGUUCCUAGCGCAACAGGGCCGUGCUGGGGAAUGACGAUGGCACCGGCUCGGCGGCCGGCUCUGGCGCCGUCCCGGCUGGCGCUACCUCCUCUGCGGGAGGCGGAUGGGCCGCAUCCGGCGCAUCCAUGGCCGCCCCUGGCGUGUCAGGGGCCGUGUCCGGCACACCUAGGUCCAGCUCCGGGGCGUCGGGUGCCGCCUCGGCCCUGGGGGAGUCAGGGACCGUUUCCAGGUCCACAUGCGCUGAGGCUUCCGGCCCUGAAGGUUGGGCUCCCUCAGCCAUUGGGGCCGGCCUUGAAGCGGCCUCGCUAGCUGGCUCCUCCGCGCGAGCAUGUGCGGAGGGGUCAUGUCUAGCCUUCGCACGCUUCUCCACCGGCCUCUCGACCCGGCUGGGGCGAGACUGGCCCACGGCCGCUUUCCCCGCAGCCACGUCCCACCGGCGCUUGGACUCCAUCUCAAGCUCCCUCUGGGCAGCAUCGGCUGCUGCCUAGCCAGCCCGCUGUUGGAAAUAUGCCCUAGAGGCAAUAAUAAAUUAGUUAUUAUUAUAUUUCUUUGUUCAUGAUAAUUGUUUAUUAUCCAUGCUACAAUUGUAUUGAUUGGAAACACAAUGCAUCCGUGGAUACAUAGACAAAACACUGUCCCUAGUAAGCCUCUAGUUGACUAGCUCGUUGAUCAAAGAUGGUCAAGGUUUCCUGACCAUAGGCAAGUGUUGUCACUUGAUAACAUGAUCACAUCAUUAGGACAAUCAUGUGAUGGACUAGACCCAAACUAAUAGACGUAGCAUGUUGAUCGUGUCAUUUUGUUGCUACUGUUUUCUGCGUGUCAAGUAUUUAUUCCUAUGACCAUGAGAUCAUAUAACUCACGGACACCGAAGGAAUGCUUUGUGUGUAUCAAACGUCACAACGUAACUGGGUGACUAUAAAGAUGCUCUACAGGUAUCUCCGAAGGUGUUCGUUGAGUUAGUAUGGAUCAAGACUGGGAUUUGUCACUCCGUGUGACGGAGAGGUAUCUCGGGGCCCACUCGGUAAUACAACAUCACACACAAGCCUUGCAAGCAAUGUGACUUAGUGUAAGUCACAGGAUCUUGUAUUACGGAACGAGUAAAGAGACUUGCCGGUAAACGAGAUUGAAAUAGGUAUGCGGAUACUGACGAUCGAAUCUCAGGCAAGUAACAUACCGAAGGACAAAAGGGAUGACAUACGGGAUUAUAUGAAUCCUUGGCACUGAGGUUCAAACGAUAAGAUCUUCGUAGAAUAUGUAGGAUCCAAUAUGGGCAUCCAGGUCCCACUAUUGGAUAGUGACUGAGGAGUCCCUCGGGUCAUGUCUACAUAGUUCUCGAACCCGCAGGGUCUGCACACUUAAGGUUUGACGUUGUUUUAUGCGUAUUUGAGUUAUAUGGUUGGUUACCGAAUGUUGUUCGGAGUCCCGGAUAAGAUCACGGAUGUCACGAGGGUUUCCAGAAUGGUCCGGAAAUGAAGAUUGAUAUAUAGGAUGACCUCAUUUGAUUACCGGAAGGUUUUCGGAAUUACCGGGAAAUGAUGAAUGGGUUCCGGAUGUUCACCGGGAGGGGCCAGCCCACCCGGGGGAAGCCCAUAGGCCUUAGGAGUGUCACACCAGCCCUUAGUGGGCUGGUGGGACAGCCCAAGAGGCCCUAUGUGCAGGAUAAAGAAAAACCAAAGAGAAAAAAAAGGGAAGUGGGAAGGAAGGGAAGGACUCCACCUUCCAAACCUAGUUGGACUAGGAUUGGAAGGGGGAAUCCUACUCCCCCCCCCCUUCGGUCGAACCCCUUGGGGCUCCUUGAGCCCCAAGGCAAGGCCCCUCCCCUCCCACCUAUAUACACGGAGGUUUUAGGGCUGAUUUGAGACAACUUUUCCACGGCAGCCCGACCACAUACCUCCACGGUUUUUCCUCUAGAUCGCGUUUCUGCGGAGCUCAGGCGGAGCCCAGCUGAGAUUAGGUCACCACCAACCUCCGGAGCGCCGUCACGCUGCCGGAAAACUCGUCUACCUCUCCGUCUCUCUUGCUGGAUCAAGAAGGUCGAGAUCAUUGUCGAGCUGUACGUGUGCUGAACGCGGAGGUGCCGUCCGUUCGGCACUAGAUCGGAGUGGAUCGCAGGACGGUUCAUGGGACGGUUCGCGGGGCGGAUCGAGGGACUUGAGGACGUUCCACUACAUCAACCAAGUUUAUUAACGCUUCUGUUGUGCAAUCUACAAGGGUACGUAGAUCGGAAAUCCCCUCUCGUAGAUGGACAUCACCAUGAUAGGUCUUCGUGCGCGUAGGAAAUUUUUUGUUUCCCAUGCGACGUUCCCCAACAGUGGCAUCAUGAGCUAGGUUCAUGCGUAGAUGUUAUCUCGAGUAGAACACAAAAUUUUUUGUGGGCGGUGAUGUGCGAUUUGCUGCCCUCCUUAGUCUUUUCUUGAUUCCGCGGUAUUGUUGGAUCGAAGCGGCUCGGACCGACAUUACUCGUACGCUUACGAGAGACUGGUUUCAUCUCUACGAGCAACUCCAUUGCUCAAAGAUGACUGGCGAGUGUCGGUUUCUCCAACUUUAGUUGAAUCGGAUUUGACCGAGGAGGUCCUUGGAUGAGGUUAAAUAGCAAUUCAUUUAUCUCCGUUGUAGUGUUUGCGUAAGUAAGAUGCAAUCCUACUAGAUACCCAUGGUCACCAUGUAAAACAUGCAACGACAAUUAGAGGACGUCUAACUUGUUUUUGCAGGGUAUGCUUGUGAUGUGAUAUGGCCAACGAUGUGAUGUGAUAUAUUGGAUGUAUGAGAUGAUCAUGUUGUACUAGUUAAUAUCGACUUGCACGUCGAUGGUACGGCAACCGGCAGGAGCCAUAGGGUUGUUUUUAAACUAACGUUUGUGCUUGUAGAUGCGUUUACUAUAUUGCUAGGACGUAGCUUUAGUAGUAAUAGCAUGAGUAGCACGACAACCUCGAUGGCGACACGUUGAUGGAGAUCAUGGUGUGACGCCGGUGACAAGAAGAUCGUGCCGGUGCUUUGGUGAUGGAGCUCAAGAAGCACAUGAUGAUGGCCAUAUCAUGUCACUUAUGAAUUGCAUGUGAUGUUAAUCCUUUAUGCACCUUAUCUUGCUUAUAACGACGGUAGCAUUAUGAGGUGAUCUCUCACUAAAAUUUCAAGACGAAAUUGUGUUCUCCCCGACUGUGCACCGUUGCUACAGUUCGUCGUUUCGAGACACCACGUGAUGAUAGGGUGUGAUAGACUCAACGUUCACAUACAACAGGUGCAAAACAGUUGUACACGCGGAACACUCGGGUUAAGCUUGACGAGCCUAGCAUGUGCAGACAUGGCCUCAGAACACAUGAGACCGAAAGGUCGAACAUGAAUCGUAUAGAUGAUAUGAUUAGCAUAGAGAUGCUUACCACUGAAACUAUUCUCGACUCACAUGAUGAUCGUACUUGAGAUAGUGGAUUUGGAUCAUGUACCACUCAAAUGACGAGAGAGAUGUACUUUUUGAGUGGGAGUUCUUAAGUAAUAUGAUUAAUUGAACUAAUUUUCAUGAACAUAGUCUAAUGGUCUUUGCGAAUUACGAUGUAGCUUGCGCUAUAGCUCUACUGUUUUUAUAUGUUCCUAAAGAAAAUUUAGUUGAAAGUUGACCGUAGCAAACUUUGUGGACCAAGUCUGUAAAACUGAGGAUUGUCCUCGUUACUGCACAGAAGGCUUAUGUCCUUAAUGCACCACUCGGUGUGUUGCACCUCAAGCGUCGUUUGUGGAUGUUGUGAAAACAUCCGACAUACACGUUUCUAAUGACUACGCAAUAGUUCAGUGCAAAAUACUUAAUGGCUUAGAAGCAAGGCGCAGAAGACGUUUUGAAACGUCACGAAACAUAAGUGAUGUUCUAAAGAGAUGAAAUUUUGAUUUCAUGCUUGUGCCCUUGUUAAGAGGUAUGAGACCUCCGACAAGAUUCUUUGUCCAUGAAGUAAAGGAGAAAAUCUCAAUCGUUGAGCGUGUACUCAGAUUGUCUGAGUACGACAAUCGCUUGAAUCAAGUGGGAGUUAAUCUUCUAGAUGAGAUAGUGAUGGUUCUCCAAAGUCACUACCACCAAGCUGUGAGAGCUUCAUGAUGAACUAUAACAUUUCAAGGAUAGAUACAAUGAUCCUUGAGCGAUUCGCGAUGUUUGACACUGCGAAAGUAGAAAUCAAGAAGGAGCAUCAAUAGUUGAUGGUUAGUAAAACCACUAAGUUUCAAGAAAGGCAAGGGCUAAAAGGGAUACUUCAUGAAACGGCAAAACAGUUGCUGCUCUAAUGAAACCCAAGAUUGAACCCAACCCGGGGACUAAGUGCUUCUGUUAUGAGGGGAAACAGUCACUGAGGCGGAGCUACCGUAGAUGCUUGGUAGAUAAGAAGGCUGGCUAAGUCGACAUAAGUAUAUAUAAUAUACAUGAUAUUGAUGUGUACUUUACUAGUACUCCUAGUAGCGCGAGGGUAUUGGAUGCCGGUUCGGUUGCUAAGUGAUUAGUAACUCGAAAUGAAAGCUACGGAAUAAACGGAGACUAGCUAAAGGCGAGGUGACGAUACGUGUUGGAAGUGUUUCCAAGGUUGAUAUGAUCAAAUGUCGCACACUCCCUCUACCAUCGGGAUUGGUGUUAAACCUGAAUAAUUGUUAUUGGGUGCUUGCGUUGAGCAUGAACAUGAUUGGAUCGUGUUUAUUGCAAUACGGUUAUUCAUUUAAAGAGAAUAAUGGUUAUUCUAUUUUCUUGAAUAGUCACCUUCAAUAGUUUGUUGAAUCUCGAUCGUAGUGUUACACAUGUUCGUAAUAUUGGUGCCAAAAUAUACAAAGUAAUAAUGAUAGUACCACUUACUUGUGGCACUGCCGCUUGAGUCAUGUUGGUGUAAAAUGCAUGAAGAAGCUCCAUGCUAAUGGAUCUUUGUACUCACUCAUUUUUGAAACGUUUGAGACAUGCAAACCAUACCUGUUGGUAUAAAUGCAUGAAGAAACUCCAUAGAAAUGGAUCGUUUGGACUCGCUUGAUUUUGAAUCACUUGAGACAUGCAAAACAUGCCACAUGAAACAAGUAGAGUAACUUGUUGGAGUAAUGCAUUUUUGAUAUGUGCAGUCCAAUGAGUGCUAAGGCACGUAGUGGAUAUCGUUAUGUUCUUACUUCACUGACGAUUUGAGUAGAUACAUGAGUAUUUACUUGAUGAAUCACAAGUCUGAAAUAUUGAAAAGUUCAGGACAAUUUUCUGAGUGAAGAUCGUCGCGACAAGAGGAUAAACUGUCUACGAUAUGAUCAUAGAGAUGAAUAUCUGAGUUACGAGUUUUGGUACGCAGUUAAGACAAUGUGGAAAUUGUUUUGCAGUUCAUGCCACCUGGAACACCAUAGUAUGAUGAUGUGUCUGAACGUCAUAGCCACACCCUAUUUUGAUAUGGUGCAUACUAUGAUGUCUCUUAUCGAAUUACCACUAUCGUUUAUGGGUUAUGCAUUAGAGACAACCGCAUUCACUUUAAAUAGGACACCGCGUAUUUCCGUUGAGAUGACAUAGUAUAGACUGAGGUUUAGAGAAAUCUAAGCUGUCAUUUCUUGAAAGUUUGGGGCUGCGACGUUUAUGUGAAAAAGUUUCAGUCUGAUAAGCUCGAACCCAAAGCGGAUAAAUGCAUCUUCAUAGGAUAUCCAAAAUAGUUGGAUACAUCUCCUAUCUCAGAUCCGGAAGCAAAGUGUUUGUUUCUAGAAACGGGUCCUUUCUCGAGGAAAGGUUUCUCUCGAAAGAAUUGAGUGGGAGGGUGGUAGAACUUGGUGAGGUUAUUGAACCAUCACUUCAACCAGUGUGUAGCAGGACGCAGGAAGUUGUUCAUGUGGCGCCUACACCAAUUGAAGUGGAAGCUGAUGAUAGUGAUCAUUAGAGCUUCGGAUCAAGUUACUACAAACCUCGUAGGUCGACAAAGGUCACGUACUACUACAGAGUGGUAUGGUAACCCUGUCUUGGAGGUCAUGUUGUUGAGCAACAGUGAACCUACGAGUUAUGGAGAAGCAAUGGUGGGCCCGGAUUCCGACAAAUGGCUGGAGGCCAUGAAAUCCGAGAGAGGAUCCAUGUAUGAAAACGAAGUGUAGACUUUGGAAGAACUACUUGAUGGUCAUAGGACUAUUGAGUAAAGAUGGAUCUUUAAAAGGAAGACAAACGAUGAUGGUGAUAAGUCACUAUUAAGAAAAACUCGACUUGUCGCAAAGAUGUUUCCGACAAGAUCAAGUAGUUGACUAUGAUGAGACUUUCUCAUUCGUAGCGAUGCUAAAAGUCUGUUAGAAUUAUGUUAGUUGUUGCUGCAUUAUUUGUGAAAUAUUUCACAUAGUAUGUCAAAACAUUGUUUCCUCGACGGUUUCCUUGAGCAAACAUUGUAUGUGAUAUAACCAGGAGGUUUUGUCGAUCCUAAAGAUACUAACAAGUAUGCAAGCUCCAGCGAUCCUUCAUUGGACUGGUGCAAGCAUCUCGGAGUUGGAAUAUACACUUUGAUGAGAUGAUCAAAGAUUUUGGGUUUAUACAAAGUUUAUGAGAAACUUGUAUUUCCAAAGAAGUGAGUGAGAGCACUAUAGAAUUUCUGAUAAGUAUAUGUGGUUGACAUAUUGUUGAAUCAGAAGUAAUGUAGAAUUUCUGUGAAGCAUAAAAGGUUGUUUGGAAGGAGUUUUUCAAAGGAAUGGCUGGAUCGAGCUACUUGAACGUUGAGCAUCAAGAUCUAUGGAUAUAGAUCAAAACGCUUAAUAGAAGUUUCAACAAGAUGCAUGCCUUGACAAGUUUUUGAAGGAGUUCAAAAGGAUCAGCAAAGAAGGAGUUCUUAACUGUGUUGUAAGGUGUGAAUUUGAGUAAAGACUCAAAACCCGACCACGGCAGAAUAAAGAGAAUAGAUGAAGGUCGUCUUUUAUGCUUUUGCCGUUGACUCUAAAGUAUGCCAUGCUGAGUACCGCGCCUGAUGUGUGCCUUGCAGCAACUCUGUUAAGAGGUAGAGAGAGUGAUCCAGGAUUGAAUCACUCAUCAGCGGUCAAAGUUAUCCUUAGUAACUAAAUGGACUAAGGAAUUUUUCUCGAUUAUGGAGGUGGUUAAAGAGUUCGUCGUAAAGGGCUACAUUGAUGCAAGCUUUGAAACUAAUCCGAAUAACUAUGAGUAGUGAAACGGAUUCGUAUAGUAGAGUAUAUAUUUGGAGUAUUUCCGAAUAGCACGUAGUAGCAGCAUCUGUAAGAUGACAUAAAGAUUUGUAAAGAAACACGGAUCUGAAAGUUUCAGAACCGUUGACUGAAACCUCUCUCACAAGCAAGACGUGAUCAGACCCCAGAACUAUAUGGGUGUUGGAUUCGUUGAAAUCACAUGGUGAUGUGAACUAGAUUAUUGACUCUAGUGCAAGUGGGAGACUGUUGGAAAUAUGCCCUAGAGGCAAUAAUAAAUUAGAUAUUAUUAUAUUUAUUUGUUCAUGAUAAUCGUUUAUUAUCCAUGCUAUAAUUGUAUUGAUUGGAAACACAAUGCAUGUGUGGAUACAUAGACAAAACACUGUCCCUAGUAAGCCUCUAGUUGACUAGCUCGUUGAUCAAAGAUGGUCAAGGUUUCCUGACCAUAGGCAAAUGUUGUCACUUGAUAACGGGAUCACAUCAUUAGAAGAAUCAUGUGAUGGACUAGACCCAAACUAAUAGACGUAGCAUGUUGAUCGUGUCAUUUUGUUGCUACUGUUUUCUGCGUGUCAAGUAUUUAUUCCUAUGACCAUGAGAUCAUAUAACUCACGGACACCGGAGGAAUGCUUUGUGUGUAUCAAACGUCGCAACGUAACUGGGUGACUAUAAAGAUGCUCUACAGGUAUCUCCGAAGGUGUUCAUUGAGUUAGUAUGGAUCAAGACUGGGAUUUGUCACUCCGUGUGACGGAGAGGUAUCUCGGGGCCCACUCGGUAAUACAACAUCACACACAAUCCUUGCAAGCAACGUGACUUAGUGUAAGUUGCGGGAUCUUGUAUUACGGAACGAGUAAAGAGACUUGCCGGUAAACGAGAUUGAAAUAGGUAUGCGGAUACUGACGAUCGAAUCUCGGGCAAGUAACAUACCGAAGGACAAAGGGAAUGACAUACGAGAUUAUAUGAAUUCUUGGCACCGAGGUUCAAACAAUAAGAUCUUCGUAGAAUAUGUAGGAUCCAAUAUGGGCAUCCAAGUCCCGCUAUUGGAUAUUGACCGAGGAGUCCCUCGGGUCAUGUCUACAUAGUUCUCGAACCCGCAGGGUCUUCACACUUAAGGUUCGACGUUGUUUUAUGCGUAUUUGAGUUAUAUGGUUGGUUACCGAAUGUUGUUCGGAGUCCCGGAUAAGAUCACGGAUGUCACGAGGGUUUCCGGAAUGGUCCGGAAAUGAAGAUUGAUAUAUAGGAUGACCUCAUUUGAUUACCGGAAGGUUUUCGGAAUUAGUUCCGGAUGUUCACCGGGAGGGGCCAGCCCACCCGGGGGAAGCCCAUAGGCCUUAGGAGUGUCACACCAGCCCUUAGUGGGCUGGUGGGACAGCCCAAGAGGCCCUAUGCGCAGGAUAAAGAAAAACCAAAGAGGAAAAAAGGGAAGUGGGAAGGAAGGGAAGGACUCCACCUUCCAAACCUAGUUGGACUAGGAUUGGAAGGGGGAAUCCUACUCCCCCCUUCAGCCGAACCCCUUGGGGCUCCUUGUUCCCCAAGGCAAGGCCCCUCCCCUCCCACCUAUAUAUACGGAGGUUUUAGGGCUGAUUUGAGACAACUUUUCCACGGCAGCCCGACCACAUACCUCCACGGUUUUUCCUCUAGAUCGCGUUUCUGUGGAGCUCGGGCGGAGCCCACCUGAGAUUAGAUCACCACCAACCUCCGGAGUGCUGUCACGCUGCCGGAGAACUCGUCUACCUCUCCGUCUCUCUUGCUGGAUCAAGAAGGUCGAGAUCAUCGUCGAGCUGUACGUGUGCUGAACGCGGAGGUGCCGUCCGUUCGGCACUAGAUCGGAGCGGAUCGUGGGAUGGAUCGCGGGACGGUUCAUGGGACGGUUCGCGGGGUGUAUCGAGGGACGUGAGAAAGUUCCACUACAUCAACCGCAUUUAUUAACGCUUCUGCUGUGCGAUCUACAAGGGUACGUAGAUCGGAAAUCCCCUCUCGUAGAUGGACAUCACCAUGAUAGGUCUUCGUGCGCGUAGGAAUUUUUUUGUUUCCCAUGCGACGUUCCCCAACACCCGCUCGGCUGCGGAGGCGGUGUCCUCUUCCACAUCCUCCGCCUCCCUGUCAAGCAAAGCUCCUAAGGAACAAAACUCGUCGCAAGAUAAACAAAGAAAAUGGGGGGAGGAAAUCUUACCCCGCUACCACAGGGACCUGCCUUCGGCCAGCACCGCGGCGUCUCUUUGCGCUGCCUGCUCCCUGUCCGGCUGGAGGACCCGGCGCAGGCCACUUAGCAGCCGGUCGGGAAGCUGUGGCACUCUUUCCCUUCAUCCCGGCUGCCUCGUCAGCAGCGGUCGCUCCGCCCCUUUGGCGCCUGCAAAGCGUCAGUGGCGGGCUGGUGACCCCUUUGUUGGAAAUAUGCCCUACGUGCAAUAAUAAAAUGGUUAUUAUCAUAUUUCCUUGUUCAUGAUAAUUGUCUAUUGUUCAUGCUAUAAUUGUAUUAACAGGAAACAGUAAUACAUGUGUGAAUAAAUAGAUCACAAUGUGUCCCUAGCAAGCCUCUAGUUGGCUAGCUCGUUGGUCAAUAGAUGAUCAGGGUUUCCUGGUCAUGGGCAUUAGAUGUCAUUGAUAAUGGGAUCACAUCAUUGGGAGAAUGAUGUGAUGGACAAGACCCAAUCCUAAGCACAGCACUAGAUCGUAUUGUUCGUAUGCUAAAGCUUUUACUAAUGUCAAGUGUCUUUUCCUUCGACCGUGAGAUUGUGCAACUCCCGGAUACCGUAGGAGUGCUUUGGGUGUAUCAAACGUCACAACGUAACUGGGUGACUAUAAAGGUGCACUACGGGUACCUCUGAAAGUGUCUGUUGGGUUGGUACGAAUCGAGAUUGGGAUUUGUCACUCCGCGUGGCGGAGAGGUAUCUCUGGGCCCACUCGGUAGAACAUCAUCAUGAGCUCAAUGUGACUAAGGAGUUAGUCACACGAUGACGUGCUACGGAACGAGUAAAGAGACUUACCGGUAACGAGAUUGAACAAGGUAUAGGUAUACCGACGAUCGAAUCUCGGGCAAGUUCUAUACCGACAGACAAAGGGAAUUGUAUACGGGAUUGAUUGAAUCCUUGACAUCGUGGUUCAUCCGAUGAGAUCAUCGUGGAGCAAGUGGGAGCCACCAUGGGUAUCCAGACCCUGUUGAUGGUUAUUCGCCGGAGAGGUGUCUCGGUCAUGUCUGCCUGUCUCCCGAACCUGUAGGGUCUACACACUUAAGGUUCGAUGACGCUAGGGUUAUAGGGAAUUGUUACACGAGGUUACCGAAAGUUGUUCGGAGUCCCGGAUGAGAUCCCGGAUGUCACGAGGAGCUCCGGAAUGAUCCGGAGGUAAAAAUUGAUAUAUAGGAUGGAUGGUCUUGGACACCGGAAAUGUUUCGGACGUCACCGGUAGUGUACCGGGACCACCGGGACCACCGGAGGUGGUCCCGGGGGUCCACCGGGAGGGGCCACCAGGCUCAAGAGGUAGCAUGGGCCAAAAGAGGGAGGUCAAGCAGCCCAAAGUGGGCUGGUGCGCCUCCCACAAGAAGGGCCAAGGCGCAGGAGGUGGAGAGGGGGGGGAACCCUAGGCGCUCGUGGGCCUAAGGCCCACCUAGGGGUGCGCCACCCCCUCCCCCUGCCUUGGCCGCCGCACCUCCCAUCUGGGGGGGCUGCCGCACCACCUAGGGGUGGCACCCCUCCCCUCGUCCUAUAUAUAGUGGGGGUUUCGGGGCUGUUUGACACACAGUUUUCCAUCUCCCUCGGCGCAGCCCUGGCCCCCUUCUUCCUCCUCUCCCACGGUGCUUGGCGAAGCCCUGCCGGGAGACCUCGUCUCUCCAUCGACACCAUGCCGUCGUGCUGCCAGAGAUCUUCCCCAACCUCUCCCUCCUCCUUGCUGGAUCAAGGUGCGGGAGACGUCACCAGGCUGCACGUGUGUUGAACGCGGAGGUGUCGUGGUUCGGCACUAGAUCGGAAUCACACCACGAUCUGAACCGCCGCGAGUAUGACUCCAUCAACCGCGUUCUAGCAACGCUUCCGCUUAGCGAUCUUCAAAGGUAUGAAGAUGCACUCACCCCUCUCUCGUUGCUGGUCUCUCCAUAGGAAGAUCUGAAUAUGCAAUUUUGAAUUUAUGCUACGUUACCCAACAGUGGCAUCCGAGCCAGGUUUUCUAUGCGUAGAUUCUAUGCACGAGUAGACCACAAAAGGUUGUGGGCGAUGAUUUGUCAAUUGCUUGCUGCUACUAGUCUUAUUCUUUUCCGGCGGUAUUGUGGGAUGAAGCGGCCCGGACCAACAUUACACGUACGCUUCGUGAGACUGGUUCCACCGACAGACAUGCACACCGUGCAUAAAGGUGGCUAGCGGGUGUCUGUCUCUCCUACUCUAGUCGGAUUGGAUUUGAUGAAAAGGGUCCUUAUGAAGGGUAAACAGCUUUGGCAUAUCAUCCUUGUGGCUGUCACGUAGGUAAGAAAGCGUUCUUGCUAGAAACCCAAAUCAGCCACGUAAAACUUGCAACAACAAUUAGAGGACGUCUAACUUGUUUUUGCAGGGUUUGACAUGUGAUGUGAUAUGGCCAAAGUUGUGAUGUUGCAUGUAUGAUGUAUGAGAUGAUCAUGUUAUUGUAAUAGGUUUCAUGACUUGCAUGUCGAUGAGUAUGACAACCGGCACGAGCCAUAGGAGUUGUCUUAAUUUAUUGUAUGAGAUGCAACGCCAUGUGCUUACUACUUUUACUUCAUUGCUAACGGUUAGCUAUAGUAGUAGUGAUAGUAGUAGUUGGCGUGACGACUUCACGGAGACACGAUGAUGGAGAUCAUGGUGUCACGCCGAUGACAAUGAUAAUCAUGCGAUGCCUGAAGAUGGAGAUCGAAAGAGCAAAGAUGAUAAUGGCAAUAUCAUGUCACUAUAUGAUUGCAUUGUGAUGUUUAUCAUGUUUUUCAUCUUAUUGCUUAGAACGACGGUAGCAUAAUAAGAUGAUCCCUCUUAAAAUUUCGAGAACGUAUUCCCCUAAGUGUGCACUGUUGCGAAGGAUCGUUGUCUCGAAGCACCACGUGAUGAUCGGGUGUGAUAGAUUCUAACGUUCGCAUACAACGGGUGUAAGCCAUAUUUACACACGCCAAACACCUAGGUUGACUCGACGAGCUUAGCAUGUACAGACAUGACCUCGAAUACAAGAGACCGAAAGGUCGAACAUGAGUCGUAUGGUUGAAUACGAUCAGCAUGGAGUUGCUCACCAUGAUGACUAGUCCAUCUCACGUGAUGAUCGGACACGGGUUAGUCAACAUGGAUCAUGUAUCACUUAGAUGACUGGAGGGAUGUCGAUUUAAGUGGGAGUUCAUACUUAAUUUUAUUAAAUGAACUUAAUUGUCAUGAACUUAGUCUAAAAGUUGUCUUUAUAAAUAUUGUAGAUGGCCAACGUCAACCUCAAUUUCAACGCAUUCCUAGAGAAAAACAAGCUGAAAGAUGAUGGUAGCAACUAUGCGGACUGGGUUCGCAACUUGAAGCUCAUCCUUGAAGCAGCUAAAAAGGCUUAUGUCCUUGAUGCGCCGCUAGGUGACCCUCCCGCUCCCGCAGCAGCCCAGGACAUUCUGAACGUCUGGCAAACGUGGAGUGAUGACUACUCUCUGGUUAGGUGUGGCAUGUUAUACAGUUUGGAAACGGGGCUCCAAAGGCGUUUUGAGCAACACGGUGCAUAUGAGAUGUUCCAAGAGCUGAAGCUAGUUUUUCAAGCUCAUGCCCGUGUCGAGAGAUAUGAAGUCUCCGACAAGUUCUUUAGUUGUAAGAUGGAGGAGAACAGUUCUCUCAGUGAGCACAUACUCAAAAUGUCUGGGUUACACGGUCGUCUGACUUCACUUGGAGUCGAACUUCCGGAUGAUGCUAUAAUUGACAGAAUCCUCCAGUCUCUCCCACCAAGAUACAAAGGUUUUGUGCUGAACUACAACAUGCAAGGGAUGGAGAAGACCAUUCCCGAGUUGUACUCGAUGCUCAAGUCUGCAGAAGUAGAAAUCAAGAAAGAGCAUCUAGUGUUGAUGGUCAACAAGACCACUAGUUUCAAGAAGGGCAAGGGUAAGAAUAACUUCAAGAAAGACGGAAAAGCCAUUGCCGCGCCCGGUAAGCCAGAUGCCGGGAAGAAGAAAAAGAAUGGACCCAAGCCUGAGACUGAGUGCUUCUAUUGCAAGGGAAAAGGUCACUGGAAGCGGAACUGCCCCAAAUACUUAGCGGACAAGAAGGCCGGCAACGUUAAAGGUAUAUGUGAUAUACAUGUUAUUGAUGUGUACCUUACCAGCGCUCGUAGUAGCUCCUGGGUAUUUGAUACCGGUGCUAUUGCUCACAUUUGCAACUCAAAGCAGGAAUUGCGGAAUAAGCGGAGACUGGCCAAGGACGAGGUGACGAUGCGCGUCGGGAAUGGCUCCAAGGUCGAUGUGAUCGCCGUCGGCACGCUACCUCUACAUCUACCGUCGGGAUUAGUUUUAAACCUUAAUAAUUGUUAUUUAGUACCAGCUUUGAGCAUGAAUAUUGUAUCAGGGUCUUGCUUAAUGCGAGACGGCUACUCAUUUAAGUCAGAGAAUAAUGGUUGUUCUAUUUAUAUGAGUGAUAUGUUUUAUGGUCAUGCUCCGCUGGUGAAUGGUUUAUUCUUGAUGAAUCUCGAUCGUGAUGUUACACAUAUUCAUAGUGUGAAUACCAAAGAUGUAAAGUUGAUAAUGAUAGUCCCACAUACUUGUGGCACUGCCGCCUUGGUCAUAUCGGUGUUAAGCGCAUGAAGAAGCUCCAUACUGAUGGACUAUUAGAGUCUCUUGACUUUGAAUCAUUUGAUACAUGCGAACCGUGCCUCAUGGGCAAGAUGACUAAGACUCCAUUCUCAGGAAUAAUGGAGAGAGCGACCGACUUAUUGGAAAUAAUACAUACUGAUGUGUGUGGUCCAAUGAACGUUGAAGCUCGCGGUGGCUAUCAUUAUGUUCUCACUCUCACCGAUGAUUUGAGUAGGUAUGGGUAUAUCUACUUGAUGAAGCACAAAUCUGAGACAUUUGAAAAGUUCCAGGAAUUUCACAGUGAGGUCGAGAAUCAAUGUGACAGAAAAAUUAAGUGUCUACGAUCUGAUCGUGGAGGAGAAUAUUUGAGUCACGAGUUUAGCACACACCUAAGGAAGUGUGGAAUCGUUUCACAACUGAUGCCGCCUGGCACACCGCAACGCAACAGAGUGUGUGAACGUCGUAAUCGCACUUUAUUAGAUAUGGUACGAUCUAUGAUGUCUCUUACCGACUUACCGCUAUCAUUUUGGGGAUACGCAUUGUAAACUGCAACAUUCACUUUAAAUAGGGCACCGUCUAAAUCCGUUGAGACGACACCGUAUGAACUAUGGUUUGGCAAGAAACCUAAGUUGUCGUUUCUUAAAGUUUGGGGCUGCGAUGCUUAUGUGAAGAAACUUCAACCAGAGAAGCUCGAACCCAAAGCGGAGAAAUGUGUAUUCAUAGGAUACCCUAAGGAAACUAUUGGGUAUACCUUCUAUCUUAGAUCCGAAGGUAAAACCUUUGUUGCCAAGAACGGAUCCUUUCUAGAGAAAGAGUUUCUCUCAAAAGAAGUAAGUGGGAGGAAGGUAGAACUUGAUGAGGUAAUUACACCCCCUCUCGAACAGGAAAGUAGCGCAGCGCGGGAAAUUGUUCCUGUGGCGCUUGCACCAACUGAAGAGGAAGUUAAUGAUAAUGAUCAUGAAGCUUCGAAUCAAGUUACUACUGAACCGCGAAGGUCCACAAGGGCACGCUCCGCACCAGAGUGGUACGGCAACCCUGUGAUGGAAAUCAUGUUGUUAGACAACGGUGAACCUUCGAACUAUGAAGAAGCGAUGGCGGGCCCGGAUUGCAACAAAUGGCUUGAAGCUAUGAAAUCCGAGAUAGGAUCCAUGUAUGAGAAUAAAGUAUGGACUUUGGUGGACUUGCCCGCUGACCGGCAAGCCAUAGAAAAUAAAUGGAUCUUCAAGAAGAAGACUGAUGCAAACGGUAAUGUAACCGUUUAUAAAGCUCGACUUGUCGCAAAGGGUUUUCGACAAAUUCAAGGAAUUGAAUACGAAGAGACUUUCUCUCCUGUAGCGAAGCUGAAAUCAGUCCGAAUCAUGUUAGCAAUUGCCGCCUUUUAUGAUUAUGAAAUUUGGCAAAUGGACGUCAAAACAGCGUUCCUUAACGGGAACCUUAAGGAAGAGUUGUAUAUGAUGCAACCAGAAGGUUUCGUCGACCCUAAGGGUGCUAACGAAGUGUGCAAGCUCCGGCGCUCCAUCUAUGGGCUGGUGCAAGCAUCUCGGAGUUGGAACAUUCGCUUUAAUGAGGUUAUUAAAGCGUUUGGGUUCAUACAGGUUUAUGGAGAAGCCUGUUUGUACAAGAAAGUGAGUGGGAGCUCUGUAGCUUUCCUCAUACUGUAUGUGGAUGACAUAUUGUUGAUGGGGAAUAAUAUAGAGAUGUUGGAGAGCAUAAAGGCCUAUUUGAACAAGAGUUUUUCAAUGAAGGACCUUGGAGAAGCUGCAUACAUAUUAGGCAUCAAGAUCUAUAGAGAUAGAUCGAGACGCCUCAUAGGUCUUUCGCAAAGUACAUACCUUGACAAGAUAUUGAAGAAGUUCAAUAUGGAAAACUCAAAGAAAGGGUUCUUGCCAGUUUUUCAAGGUAUGAGAUUGAGUAAGACUCAGUCGCCGACCACGACAGCAGAUAGAGAGAAGAUGAGUACUGUCCCCUACGGUUCAGCAAUAGGCUCUCUUAUGUAUGCCAUGCUGUGUACCAGACCUGAUAUAAACCUUGCCAUAAGUUUGGUAGGGAGGUACCAAAGUGAUCUCGGUAUGGAACACUGGACAACGGUCAAGAAUAUCCUUAAGUACCUGAAGAGGACUAAGGAGAUGGUUCUCAUUUAUGGAGGUGACGAAGAGCUAGUCGUAAAGGGUUACGUCGAUGCUAGCUUCGACACAGAUCCGGAUGACUCUAAGUCACAAACAGGACACGUAUAUGUUUUGAAUGGUGGGGCAGUGAGCUGGUGCAGCAGCAAGCAAGAAGUCGUGGCAGCAUCUACAUGUGAAGCGGAGUACAUAGCUGCUUCAGAAGCAGCUCAUGAAGGAAUUUGGAUGAAGGAGCUCAUCACCGACCUUGGAGUGGUUCCAAGCGCGUCGGGUCCAAUGAUACUCUUCUGUGAUAACACUGGGGCCAUUGCCAUGGCCAAGGAGCCCCGUUUUCACUUGAAGACGAAGCACAUCAAACCCCGCUACAACUCCAUCCAGGACCAUGUCCAGAGUGGAGUGAUAGAGAUUUGUAAAGUACAUACGGAUCUGAAUGUUGCAGACCCGUUGACUAAACCUCUUCCACGAGCAAAACAUGAUCAACACCAUAAUGCUAUGGGUGUUCGAUACAUCACAAUGUAACUAGAUUAUUGACUCUAGUGCAAGUGGGAGACUGUUGGAAAUAUGCCCUAGAGGCAAUAAUAAAAUGGUUAUUAUCAUAUUUCCCUGUUCAUGAUAAUCGUCUAUUGUUCAUGCUAUAAUUGUAUUAACAGGAAACAGUAAUACAUGUGUGAAUAAAUAGAUCACAAUGUGUCCCUAGCAAGACUCUAGUUGGCUAGCUCGUUGGUCAAUAGAUGAUCAUGGUUUCCUGGUCAUGGGCAUUAGAUGUCAUUGAUAACGGGAUCACAUCAUUGGGAGAAUGAUGUGAUGGACAAGACCCAAUCCUAAGCACAACACUAGAUCGUAUUGUUCGUAUGCUAAAGCUUUUCUAAUGUCAAGUGUCUUUUCCUUCGACCGUGAGAUUGUGCAACUCCCGGAUACCGUAGGAGUGCUUUGGGUGUAUCAAACGUCACAACGUAACUGGGUGACUAUAAAGGUGCACUACGGGUACCUCUGAAAGUGUAUGUUGGGUUGGUACGAAUCGAGAUCGGGAUUUGUCACUCCGCAUGGCGGAGAGGUAUCUCUGGGCCCACUCGGUAGAACAUCAUCAUGAGCUCAAUGUGACUAAGGAGUUAGUCACACGAUGACGUGCUACAGAACGAGUAAAGAGACUUACCGGUAACGAGAUUGAACAAGGUAUAGGUAUGCCGACGAUCGAAUCGCGGGCAAGUUCUAUACCGACAGACAAAGGGAAUUGUAUACAGGAUUGAUUGAAUCCUUGACAUCGUGGUUCAUCCGAUGAGAUCAUCGUGGAGCAAGUGGGAGACACCACGGGUAUCCAGACCCCGCUGAUGGUUAUUGGCCGGAGAGGUGUCUCGGUCAUGUCUGCCUGUCUCCCGAACCCGUAGGGUCUACACACUUAAGGUUCGAUGACGCUAGGGUUAUAGGGAAUUGUUAUACGAGGUUACCGAAAGUUGUUCGGAGUCCCGGAUGAGAUCCCGGACGUCACGAGGAGCUCCGGAAUGGUCCAGAGGUAAAGAUUGAUAUAUAGGAUGGAUAGUUUUGGACACCGGAGAUGUUUCGGACGUCACCGGGACCACCGGAGGUGGUCCCGGGGGUCCACCGAGAGGGGCCACCAUCCCCAAGAGGUAGCAUGGGCCAAAAUAGGGAGGGCAACCAGCCCAAAGUGGGCUGGUGCGCCUCCCACAAGAAGGCCCAAGGCGCAGGAGGUGGAGAGGGGGGGAACCGUAGGCGCUGGUAGGUCUAAGGCCCACCUAGGGGCGCGCCACCCCCUCCCCCUGCCCUGGCCGCCGCACCUUCCAUCUGGGGGGGGGGGCUGCCGCACCACCUAGGGUGGGAAACCUAGGGGUGGCACCCCCCUCCUCCUAUAUAUAGUGGGGGUUUCGGGGCUGUUUGACACAUAGUUUUCCAUCUCCCUCGGCGCAGCCCUCCCCCUUCUUCCUCCUCUCCCACGGUGCUUGGCGAAGCCCUGCCGGGAGACCUCGUCUCUCCAUCGACACCACGCCGUCAUGCUGCCGAAGAUCUUCCCCAACCUCUCCCUCCUCCUUGCUGGAUCAAGGUGCGGGAGACGUCACCGGGCUGCACGUGUGUUGAACGCGGAGGUGCCAUGGUUUGGCACUAGAUCGGAAUCACACCGCGAUCUGAAUCGCCGCGAGUACNNNNNNNNNNNNNNNNNNNNNNNNNNNNNNNNNNNNNNNNNNNNNNNNNNNNNNNNNNNNNNNNNNNNNNNNNNNNNNNNNNNNNNNNNNNNNNNNNNNNAUGUGUGGAUACAUAGACAAAACACCGUCCCUAGCAUGCCUCUAGUUGGCUAGCCAGUUGAUCGAUGAUAGUCAGUGUCUUCUGAUUAUGAACAAGGUGUUGUUGCUUGAUAACUGGAUCACGUCAUUGGGAGAAUCACGUGAUGGACUAGACCCAAACUAAUAGACGUAGCAUGUUGAUCGUGUCAUUUUGUUGCUACUGUUUUCUGCGUGUCAAGUAUUUAUUCCUGUGACCAUGAGAUCAUAUAACUCACUGACACCGGAGGAAUGCCUUGUGUGUAUCAAACGUCGCAACGUAACUGGGUGACUAUAAAGAUGCUCUACAGGUAUCUCCGAAGGUGUUAGUUGAGUUAGUAUGGAUCAAGACUGGGAUUUGUCACUCCGUAUGACGGAGAGGUAUCUCGGGGCCCACUCGGUAAUACAACAUCACACACAAGCCUUGCAAGCAAUGUAACUUAGUGUAAGUUGCGGGAUCUUGUAUUACGGAACGAGUAAAGAGACUUGCCGGUAAACGAGAUUGAAAUAGGUAUGCGGAUACUGACGAUCGAAUCUCGGGCAAGUAACAUACCGAAGGACAAAGGGAAUGACAUACGGGAUUAUACGAAUCCUUGGCACUGAGGUUCAAACGAUAAGAUCUUCGUAGAAUAUGUAGGAUCCAAUAUGGGCAUCCAGGUCCCGCUAUUGGAUAUUGACCGAGGAGUCUCUCGGGUCAUGUCUACAUAGUUCUCGAACCCGCAGGGUCUGCACACUUAAGGUUCGACGUUGUUUUAUGCGUAUUUGAGUUAUAUGGUUGGUUACCGAAUGUUGUUCGGAGUCCCGGAUGAGAUCACGGACGUCACGAGGGUUUCCGGAAUGGUCCGGAAACGAAGAUUGAUAUAUAGGAUGACCUCAUUUGAUUACCGGAAGGUUUUCGAAGUUACCGGGAAUGUACCGGGAAUGACGAAUGGGUUCCGGGAGUUCACCGGGGGGGGGGGGCAACCCACCCCGGGGAAGCCCAUAGGCUUUUGGGGAGCCACACCAGCCCUUAGUGGGCUGGUGGGACAGCCCACAAGUCCCCUAUGCGCCAAGGAUAAAAAUCAAAGGAGAAAAGAAAAAAAAAGGGGAAGUGGGAAAGGGGAAGGACUCCCUCCCACCAAACCUAGUCCAACUCGGUUUGGGGGGGGGGGGGAGAGUCCUCCCCCCUGGCUCGGCCGACCCCUUGGGGAUCCCUUGGACCCCAAGGCAAGGUCCCCCUCCCUCCUCCUAUAUAUAUGGGGCUUUUAGGGCAGAUUUGAGACGACUUUCUCACGGCUGCCCGACCACAUACCUCCAUAGUUUUUCCUCUAGAUCGCGUUUCUGCGGAGCUCGGGCGGAGCCCUGCUGAGACGAGAUCAUCACCAACCUCCGGAGCGCCGUCACGCUGCCGGAGAACUCUUCUACCUCUCCGUCUCUCUUGCUGGAUCAAGAAGGCCGAGAUCAUCGUCGAGCUGUACGUGUGCUGAACGUGGAGGUGCCGUCCGUUCGGUACUAGAUCGUGGGACUGAUCGCGGGAUUGUUCGCGGGGCGGAUCGAGGGACGUGAGGACGUUCCACUACAUCAACCGCGUUCUCUAACGCUUCUGUUGUACGAUCUACAAGGGUACAUAGAUCACUCAUCCCCUCUCGUAGAUGGACAUCACCAUGAUAGGUCUUCGUGCGCGUAGGAAAAUUUUGUUUCCCAUGCGACGUUCCCCAACAGUGGCAUCAUGAGCUAGGUUCAUGCGUAGAUGUCUUCUCGAGUAGAACACAAAAAGUUUUUGUGGGCGGUGAUGUGCGUUUUGCUGCCCUUCUUAGUCUUUUCUUGAUUCCGCGGUAUUGUUGGAUUGAAGCGGCUUGGACCGACAUUACUCGUACGCUUACGAGAGACUGGUUUCAUCGUUAUGAGUAACCCCCUUUGCUCAAAGAUGACUGGCAAGUGUCGGUUUCUCCAACUUUAGUUGAAUCGGAUUUGACCGAGGAGGUCCUUGGAUGAGGUUAAAUAGCAACUCAUAUAUCUCCGUUGUGGUGUUUGCGUAAGUAAGAUGUGAUCCUACUAGAUACCCUUGGUCACCACGUAAAACAUGCAACAACAAAAUUAGAGGACGUCUAACUUGUUUUUGCAGGGUAUGAUUGUGAUGUGAUAUGGCCAACAAUGUGAUGUGAUAUAUUGAAUGUAUGAGAUGAUCAUGUUGUAAUAGAAAUAUCGACUUGCACGUCGAUGGUACGGCAACCGGCAGGAGCCAUAGGGUUGUCUUUAUACUAACAUAUGUGCUUGCAGAUGCGUUUACUAUUUUGCUAGGAUGUAGCUUUAGUAGUGAUAGCAUAAGUAGCACGACAACCACGAUGGCAACACGUUGAUGGAUGAUCAUGGUGUGGCGCCGGUGACAAGAAGAUCGUGCCGGUGCUUUGGUGAUGGAGAUCGAGAAGCACGUGAUGAUGGCCAUAUCAUGUCACUUAUGAAUUGCAUGUGAUGUUAAUCCUUUUUGCACCUUAUUUUGCUUAGAACGACGGUAGCACUAUGAGGUGAUCUCUCACUAAAAUUUCAAGACGAAAUUGUGUUCUCCCCGACUGUGCAUCGUUGCUACAGUUCAUCGUUUCGAGACACCACGUGAUGAUCGGGUGUGAUAGACUCAACGUUCACAUACAACGGGUGCAAAACAGUUGCGCACGCGGAACACUCGGGUUAAGCUUGACGAGCCUAGCAUGUGCAGACAUGGCCUCGGAACACAUGAGACCGAAAGGUCGAUCAUGAAUCAUAUAGUUGAUAUGAUUAGCAUAGGGAUGCUUACCACUGAAACUACUCUCAACUCACGUGAUGAUCGGACUUGGGAUAGUGUAAGUGGAUCAUGAACCACUCAAAUGACUAGAGAGAUGUACUUUUUGAGUGGGAGUUUAGCAUAUAAUUUGAUUAAGUUGAACUCUAAUUAUCUUGAACAUAGUCUAAGUCCACUUUGAAUAUAUUUGUGUUGUAGAUCAUGGCUCACGCAAGUGUCAUCCUGAAUUUUAAUACGUUCCUAGAGAAAGCUAAGUUGAAAGAUGAUGGAAGCAACUUUGUAGACUGGGCUCGUAAUCUUAAGCUAAUCUUACAAGCUGGAAAGAAGGAUUAUGUCCUUAAUGCUGCGCUAGGAGAUGAACCACCCGCUACGGCUGAUCAGGAUGUUAAGAACGCUUGGUUAGCGCGUAAGGAGGACUACUCAAUAGUUCAAUGUGCAGUCUUGUAUGGCUUAGAACCGGGACUUCAACGUCGCUUUGAGCGUCAUGGAGCAUUUGAGAUGUUCCAGGAGUUGAAGUUUAUCUUUCAGAAGAACGCCCGGAUCGAGAGGUAUGAGACCUCCGAUAAAUUCUAUGCUUGCAAGAUGGAGGAAAAAUCGUCUGUCAGUGAACAUGUCUGGGUACUCAAACCGUCUAGCUGAACUGGGGAUUGAACUCCCGCAAGAAGCUAUCACUGACAGAAUCCUUCAAUCACUGCCGCCAAGCUACAAAGGCUUUGUGUUGAACUACAACAUGCAAGGGAUGAACAAGUCUCCCGGCGAGUUGUUUGCGAUGCUGAAAGUCGCAGAGUCUGAACUCCGUAAAGAGCAUCAAGUGUUGAUGGUGAGCAAGACCACUAGUUUCAAGAGAAACGGCAAAGGCAAGAAGGGCAAUUCGAAGAAGAGCGGCAAGCCUGUUGCCAAUCCGCCGAAGAAACCCAAGGCUGGACCUAAGCCUGAAACAGAGUGCUUCUAUUGCAAGGGUAUGGGUCACUGGAAGCGCAAUUGCCCCAAGUAUCUGGCAGAUAAGAAGGCGGGCAAAGAAAAAUCAGGUAUAUUUGAUAUACAUGUUAUUGAUGUGUACUUAACCGGCUCUCGUAGUAGUGCCUGGGUAUUUGAUACCGGUUCUGUUGCUCACAUUUGCAACUCGAAGCAGGAACUGCGGAAUAGACGAAGGCUGGCGAAAGACGAAGUGACGAUGCGCGUAGGAAACGGUUCCAAGGUUGAUGCAAUCGCCGUCGGCACAGUGUCACUUCAACUACCAUCGGGAUUAGUGAUGAACUUAAAUCAUUGUUAUUUAGUGCCUGCGUUGAGCAUGAACAUUAUAUCUGGAUCUUGUUUAUUGCGAGACGGUUACUCUUUUAAGUCAGAGAAUAAUGGUUGUUCUAUUUCUAUGAGUAACAUCUUUUAUGGUCAUGCACCGAAUGUGAGAGGAUUGUUCAUAUUGAAUCUUGAUAGCGAUACGCAUAUACAUAACAUUGAGACCAAAAGAGUUAGAGUAAACAAUGAUAGCGCCAUAUUUUUGUUGCACUGCCGCUUGGGUCAUAUUGGUGUAAAGCGCAUGAAGAAACUCCAUGCUGAUGGACUUUUGGAGUCACUUGACUUUGAUUCACUUGACACGUGCGAACCAUGCCUCAUGGGCAAGAUGACUAAGACUCCGUUCUCCGGAACAAUGGAGCGUGCAAGUGACUUGUUGGAAAUCAUACAUACCGAUGUGUGUGGUCCAAUGAGCGUGGAGGCACGCGGCGGAUAUCGUUAUUUUCUCACCUUCACUGACGAUUUAAGUAGAUAUGGUUAUGUCUACUUAAUGAAGCACAAGUCUGAAACAUUUGAAAAGUUCAAGCAAUUUCAGAGUGAAGUGGAAAAUCAUCGUAACAAGAAGAUCAAGUUCCUACGGUCUGAUCGUGGGGGUGAAUAUCUGAGUUUCGAGUUUGGUACUCACUUAAGACAAUGUGGAAUUGUUUCACAGUUAACACCGCCUGGAACACCACAGCGUAAUGGUGUGUCCGAACGUCGUAAUCGUACUUUAUUAGAGAUGGUGCGAUCUAUGAUGUCUCUUACUGAUUUGCCGUUAUCUUUUUGGGGUUAUGCAUUAGAAACAGCUGCAUUCACUUUAAAUAGGGCACCAUCGAAAUCCGUUGAGACGACACCAUACGAACUGUUGUAUGGCAAAAGGCCAAAGUUGUCGUUUCUUAAAGUUUGGGGAUGUGAUGCUUAUGUCAAAAAGCUUCAGCCUGAAAAGCUGGAACCCAAAGCAGAAAAGUGUGUCUUCAUAGGUUACCCAAAAGAGACGGUUGGGUACACCUUCUAUCUCAAAUCUGAGGGCAAAGUGUUUGUUGCUAAGAACGGAACUUUUCUCGAGAAGGAGUUUCUCUCGAGAGAAUUGAGUGGGAGGCAGAUAGAACUUGACGAGGUUGUCGAACCUCUCAUCCCUCUGGAUGGUGGCGCAGGGAAAGGGGAGACCUCUGUCGUUGCGACGCCGGUUGAGGAGGAAGUUAAUGAUGAUGAUCAUGAAACUCCAGUUCAAGUUUCUGUUGAACCACGCAGGUCGACGAGAUCACGUGCUGCUCCAGAGUGGUACGGUAAUCCAUCUUAUCGAUCAUGUUGUUAGACAACAAUGAACCUGCGAAUUAUGAAGAGGCAAUGGUGGGCCCAGAUUCCAACAAAUGGCUAGAAGCCAUGAAAUCCGAGAUAGGAUCCAUGUAUGAGAACAAAGUGUGGACUUUGGAGAUACUACCUGAGGGCCGCAAGGCUAUUCAGAACAAAUGGAUCUUUAAGAAGAAGACGAACGCUGACGGUAAUGUGACCGUUUAUAAAGCUCGACUUGUGGCAAAGGGUUUUUCACAAGUUCCAGGAGUUGACUACGAUGAGACCUUCUCACCCGUAGCGAUGCUUAAGUCCGUCAGAAUCAUGUUAGCAAUAGCUGCAUUUUUCGAUUAUGAAAUCUGGCAGAUGGAUGUCAAAACGGCGUUCCUUAACGGUUUCCUUAAGGAAGAGUUGUAUAUGAUGCAACCCGAAGGUUUUGUCGAUCCUAAAAAUGCUGACAAAGUGUGCAAGCUCCAGCGAUCCAUUUAUGGACUGGUGCAAGCAUCUCGGAGUUGGAAUAAACGCUUUGAUGAGGUGAUCAAAGCAUUUGGGUUUAUACAAGUGGUUGGAGAAUCUUGUAUUUACAAGAAAGUGAGUGGGAGCUCUGUGGCGUUUCUAAUAUUAUAUGUGGAUGACAUAUUACUGAUUGGAAACAAUGUAGAGCUUUUGGAGAGCAUAAAAGGUUACUUGAAUAAAAGUUUCUCUAUGAAGGACCUAGGAGAAGCUGCUUACAUACUAGGCAUUAAGAUCUAUAGGGAUAGAUCAAAACGCCUGAUAGGACUUUCACAAAGCACGUACCUUGAUAAAGUUUUGAAGAGGUUCAAAAUGGAACAGUCCAAGAAAGGGUUCUUGCCAGUGUUACAAGGUACGAGAUUGAGUAAGACUCAGUGGCCAGCAACUGAUGAAGAUAGAGAGCAUAUGCGCUCCGUCCCCUAUGCUUCAGCCAUAGGCUCUAUCAUGUAUGCAAUGCUAUGCACUAGACCGGAUGUUAGCCUGGCCAUAAGUAUGGCAGGUAGGUUCCAGAGUAAUCCAGGAGUGGAUCACUGGACGGCGGUCAAGAAUAUCCUGAAGUACCUGAAAAGGACUAAGGAGAUGUUUCUCGUGUAUGGAGGUGACGAAGAGCUCGCCGUAAAAGGUUACGUCGAUGCAAGCUUNNNNNNNNNNNNNNNNNNNNNNNNNNNNNNNNNNNNNNNNNNNNNNNNNNNNNNNNNNNNNNNNNNNNNNNNNNNNNNNNNNNNNNNNNNNNNNNNNNNNAUAAUCGUUCUUCAUAUGCUUUUCCUUGGUGUAGAAUGUGUAGCCGUUGAUAACGUAGGCCUCAUAGGUCAUCAGGUUGUGCUCGGCGCCAUGUGACAAGGCGAAUGUGAGUUUUUUCUUCCGCGGAAGAAUCCUCAUGUAAAGGGUACGACAGAAGCUUGUUCUUGAAACAAUGCGUGAAACAUGAGUUGUGCUCUUUGAUUAUAUCUCCGUCCGUCCUUUGUUGGCCUCUGUCAUUGUAUGUCUUCUCAAUAAAGGUUUUGUGCUCUACCACGCAAGGAUCGACCACAUCUAUGUGUUGUAGCGCGACUAGGUUUGCUCUUUCAAAGUCGGUGAGUCGACCCUUGAAGUCGACAUGCUAUUUCUCGGCCGACCCUCACGGUCGACCCCAUCCAGCGAGCCUGCCGAGGUACCUGUUGACGGGCAGACCAAGUGGGGUUCUCGAUGCCUAGAUAAUUCGUGCAGAAGGCGAUCCCGUGGGCUUUGCUUCCAUCUAGACUANNNNNNNNNNNNNNNNNNNNNNNNNNNNNNNNNNNNNNNNNNNNNNNNNNNNNNNNNNNNNNNNNNNNNNNNNNNNNNNNNNNNNNNNNNNNNNNNNNNNCGGAUCAUUCCGGAGCUCCUCGUGACAUCCGGGAUCUCAUCCGGGACUCCGAACAACUUUCGGUAACCUCGUGUAACAAUUCCCUAUAACCCUAGCGUCAUCGAACCUUAAGUGUGUAGACCCUACGGGUUCGGGAGACAGGCAGACAUGACCGAGACACCUCUCCGGCCAAUAACCAUCAGGCGGGGUCGUGGAUACCCGUGGUGUCUCCCACUUGCUCCACGAUGAUCUCAUCGGAUGAACCACGAUGUCAAGGAUUCAAUCAAUCCUGUAUACAAUUCCCUUUGUCUGUCGGUAUAGAACUUGCCCGCGAUUCGAUCGUCRGYAUMCSYAUACCUUGUUCAAUCUCGUUUACCGGCAAGUCUCUUUACUCGUUCCGUAAUACAAGAUCCCGCAACUUACACUAAGUUACAUUGCUUGCAAGGCUUGUGUGUGAUGUUGUAUUACCGAGUGGGCCCCGAGAUACCUCUCCGUCAUACGGAGUGACAAAUCCCAGUCUUGAUCCAUACUAACUCAACUAACACCUUCGGAGAUACCUGUAGAGCAUCUUUAUAGUCACCCAGUUACGUUGCGACGUUUGAUACACACAAGGCAUUCCUCCGGUGUCAGUGAGUUAUAUGAUCUCAUGGUCACAGGAAUAAAUACUUGACACGCAGAAAACAGUAGCAACAAAAUGACACGAUCAACAUGCUACGUCUANNNNNNNNNNNNNNNNNNNNNNNNNNNNNNNNNNNNNNNNNNNNNNNNNNNNNNNNNNNNNNNNNNNNNNNNNNNNNNNNNNNNNNNNNNNNNNNNNNNNACCCCGGGGUAGGCUCAUCAAGCCUGCUCCUUCAUUUCCUGCCCAAAGGACAUGAACAUAUACAGAUUCCCAAGGCCCAAGUCUUCCGGCCGGCUAGGCAGCGCCUACCGGCUAGAGGACGAGGCGGCCAUCCCUCUGGCCGGCCAGGCAACCCCCGCCGGCUAGAGUCGAGGCGGCUACCUCUCCUGAGCCGGCCUGGUCGCGCUAGCCCGGCUAGGAAGGAGGCGGCCGCGCCCAAGCCCGCUAGCCAAGCAGGCUAGCCGGCCGAAGAUCACAAGUCACAUCAGAUCGUAGGUCAGGAUAAGACCUUACGACUAAAGGUAGCUACGCAUCAGCAAAGGUACUGGAUCGGGGCGCGCGGCAGGUACGAGCGUCGGCGGCCACGCCGCUAACCUACCCCGGCUCUGAUCCAUCACCUAGCAUAGUAUCGGACCAUCACACUCCCACUCCAUUAGUGCACUCGGCGUGGGGAACAGUGGAGGCGGCCGUACUACCUGCCCAUGACGAAUCUCGCGGGGCAACACUUGACGUACAACGCGUGCUCGGCGUCAACCUUACGCGAGAGCCUCAUUGGCCAGCCGGCGGGUUCCACUGCCAAUCGAGACCAUGCAGCCGACGGGUCCCUCAAGCGACAAGACAAGACUCUAGUGGCCCCUGGCCAGCCGACGAGGCUGCCAGCCGGGUCCCACCACCUUNNNNNNNNNNNNNNNNNNNNNNNNNNNNNNNNNNNNNNNNNNNNNNNNNNNNNNNNNNNNNNNNNNNNNNNNNNNNNNNNNNNNNNNNNNNNNNNNNNNNAUACUCGCGGCGGUUCAGAUCGUGGUGUGAUUCCGAUCUAGUGCCGAACCACGACACCUCCGCGUUCAACACACGUGCAGCCUGGUGACGUCUCCCGCACCUUGAUCCAGCAAGGAGGAGGGAGAGGUUGGGGAAGAUCUUCGGCAGCAUGACGGCGUGGUGUCGAUGGAGAGACGAGGUCUCCCGGCAGGGCUUCGCCAAGCACCGUGGGAGAGGAGGAAGAAGGGGGAGGGCUGCGCCGAGGGAGAUGGAAAACUAUGUGUCAAACAGCCCCGAAACCCCCACUAUAUAUAGGAGGAGGGGGGUGCCACCCCUAGGUUUCCCACCCUAGGUGGUGCGGCAGCCCCCCCCCCCAGAUGGAAGGUGCGGCGGCCAGGGCAGGGGGAGGGGGUGGCGCGCCCCUAGGUGGGCCUUAGACCUACCAGCGCCUACGGUUCCCCCCCUCUCCACCUCCUGCGCCUUGGGCCUUCUUGUGGGAGGCGCACCAGCCCACUUUGGGCUGGUUGCCCUCCCUAUUUUGGCCCAUGCUACCUCUUGGGGAUGGUGGCCCCUCUCGGUGGACCCCCGGGACCACCUCCGGUGGUCCCGGUGACGUCCGAAACAUCUCCGGUGUCCAAAACUAUCCAUCCUAUAUAUCAAUCUUUACCUCUGGACCAUUCCGGAGCUCCUCGUGACGUCCGGGAUCUCAUCCGGGACUCCGAACAACUUUCGGUAACCUCGUAUAACAAUUCCCUAUAACCCUAGCGUCAUCGAACCUUAAGUGUGUAGACNNNNNNNNNNGGGUUCGGGAGACAGGCAGACAUGACCGAGACACCUCUCCGGCCAAUAACCAUCAGCGGGGUCUGGAUACCCGUGGUGUCUCCCACUUGCUCCACGAUGAUCUCAUCGGAUGAACCACGAUGUCAAGGAUUCAAUCAAUCCUGUAUACAAUUCCCUUUGUCUGUCGGUAUAGAACUUGCCCGCGAUUCGAUCGUCGGCAUACCUAUACCUUGUUCAAUCUCGUUACCGGUAAGUCUCUUUACUCGUNNNNNNNNNNNNNNNNNNNNNNNNNNNNNNNNNNNNNNNNNNNNNNNNNNNNNNNNNNNNNNNNNNNNNNNNNNNNNNNNNNNNNNNNNNNNNNNNNNNNCUCCGGCAGCGUGACAGCACUCCGGAGGUUGGUGGUGAUCUAAUCUCAGGUGGGCUCCGCCCGAGCUCCACAGAAACGCGAUCUAGAGGAAAAACCGUGGAGGUAUGUGGUCGGGCUGCCGUGGAAAAGUUGUCUCAAAUCAGCCCUAAAACCUCCGUAUAUAUAGGUGGGAGGGGAGGGGCCUUGCCUUGGGGAACAAGGAGCCCCAAGGGGUUCGGCUGAAGGGGGGAGUAGGAUUCCCCCUUCCAAUCCUAGUCCAACUAGGUUUGGAAGGUGGAGUCCUUCCCUUCCUUCCCACUUCCCUUUUUUUUCUCUUUGGUUUUUCUUUAUCCUGCACAUAGGGCCUCUUGGGCUGUCCCACCAGCCCACUAAGGGCUGGUGUGACACUCCUAAGGCCUAUGGGCUUCCCCCGGGUGGGCUGGCCCCUCCCGGUGAACAUCCGGAACCCAUUCAUCAUUUCCCGGUAAUUCCGAAAACCUUCCGGUAAUCAAAUGAGGUCAUCCUAUAUAUCAAUCUUCGUUUCCGGACCAUUCCGGAAACCUCGUGACGUCCGUGAUCUCAUCCGGGACUCCGAACAACAUUCGGUAACCAACCAUAUAACUCAAAUANNNNNNNNNNAUUUCCGGACCAUUCUGGAAACCCUCGUGACAUCCGUGAUCUUAUCCGGGACUCCGAACAACAUUCGGUAACCAACCAUAUAACUCAAAUACGCAUAAAACAACGUCAAACCUUAAGUGUGCAGACCCUGCGGGUUCGAGAACUAUGUAGACAUGACCCGAGGGACUCCUCGGUCAAUAUCCAAUAGCGGGACUUGGAUGCCCAUAUUGGAUCCUACAUAUUCUACGAAGAUCUUAUUGUUUGAACCUCGGUGCCAAGAAUUCAUAUAAUCUCGUAUGUCAUUCCCUUUGUCCUUCGGUAUGUUACUUGCCCGAGAUUCGAUCGUCAGUAUCCGCAUACCUAUUUCAAUCUCGUUUACCGNNNNNNNNNNAGUCACUAUCCAAUAGUGGGACCUGGAUGCCCAUAUUGGAUCCUACAUAUUCUACGAAGAUCUUAUCGUUUGAACCUCAGUGCCAAGGAUUCAUAUAAUCCCGUAUGUCAUCCCUUUUGUCCUUCGGUAUGUUACUUGCCUGAGAUUCGAUCGUCAGUAUCCGCAUACCUAUUUCAAUCUCGUUUACCGGCAAGUCUCUUUACUCGUUCCGUAAUACAAGAUCCCGCAACUUACACUAAGUCACGUUGCUUGCAAGGAUUGUGUGUGAUGUUGUAUUACCGAGUGGGCCCCGAGAUACCUCUCCGUNNNNNNNNNNNNNNNNNNNNNNNNNNNNNNNNNNNNNNNNNNNNNNNNNNNNNNNNNNNNNNNNNNNNNNNNNNNNNNNNNNNNNNNNNNNNNNNNNNNNAGUAGUUGAGUGAUGAACAGUUUAUUGCUGCAUUGGCCUACAGCAAACCAAGCCUGGCCUCCAUCCAUGUUCGGUUAUUUGCCUCCUAUGUUUUUUUUUAGCGAAUUUGCCUCCUGUGGUGACAACACAUGUGUAAUGUGCUACAUCCAGGUCUGUCUAUCUGAUGGUUGCUUGAAGCAACCAAUCUUGCCAACCAGGCAACCACAAAUAUGAACUAUUAGCUAUAGCCUUUUAGGGGAUGUUUAAUGCUUGCAAUUGUCGAUGUUUCUCUAUGAUUUGUUGUAGAAUAGCUCAAGUUCUGACUUGCAUUGGUAAGAUUUGUUACCAACUUUGGUAUCUGAAAUUCAUUAUUCAUGCUCAUAAACAAAAUGCUUUUCAUUUGAAGUUUUUGGUUUGAUGCUGCUCUAUCUAAUAGGAUUUCAAAUCACGCUAUUCUUGUGCAAUCCAGGAACCUGAUGGCAAAGCAAGAUAUGGCAGAGCUUGGGUUCGGUAACGCAGACGCCGUGGUUACGUCUUCUGAGAAGGACAGCAAACUGGAGAGUCCAGCGAGUGAUUCGGAAGAGAAGAAAUAGAUGUUUAACAUGCAAGCCAGCAAAAGGAUACUAGAGCAUAACCUGUUUAAUUCGGCAAGUUCUACACUCGGGCUAGAUUUAACGUGGAAUACCUCGUAUAUUCUUUUACUAGUUUCUCUGAUAAAUUAAGCCGUGUACCACAGGUGGAGAAAGUAUCAGUUUACAUAUGCUCUUUUUAAUGCUUUCAUAGGAUUUUUUUUUGUCCUUUGGAUCAGCUGGACGGUACUAAAUUUUUUCUAAGAAUUGUCUGUUUUUCUAUGCCCAGUAGCGUUGAAAUUUGAACAUCAUUGGCUUCAACCUCUAUUUUUUUUCGCCGGCCACAUAGGCUGGGCUCUGUUUUCAUGUGUUCCUCUAAUGUUGUAUCCGGUCUACAACCGUUUCUCUUGCAUUCAAAUUAUUAUUUUUGAAA
rnacentral:lncRNA from 1 species